rnacentral:lncRNA from 1 species
UCUCUCUCUCUCUCCCCCUCUCUUGUAAUGACGAAUCCUUGAAUGAUAAUGAUAAUUUGUUGUAAGGGCAUAGUUGUAUAUGUCUUUCCGCAGUGUAUAGAGCGGGAAUAGAAAGUGGAAGCAUCAGUUUUAGGAAAAAAGAAAAAAGAAAAGAACAAACAAAACCCAAAAUUAUUCAAGAAACAAAAUUAUACAAACAAAACCCACAACAAACAAACUUAUAGGAAAAAGAAAAAAAUGCAGCAGCAAAACUGAAAAAUUUCUAGACUUCGUUUGCAAAGAAGGAAGAACUCCUUAUGUGCAGGGAGUUAAAUAUUUUCGAUUUAAAAAAGGAUAAGCUAAAAAGUUAAAAAAUGGAAGAAUAAAUAAGAGCAAACUUUAAUUGCUUUUUUUCUUUGAAUUAAUUUGAUAAUCAUCAUGGCUUCAUGAAUGGAGAAUACUUGGUUGAUACUUUGUUAAUUUCUUGUAACCAGGUCAAAGAACAGUAUGGAUGCCUUUUCAACGUGUAGCAUCAAACCUUAUAAGCGAAUACAAAUUGCAAAGUGAAAACAGUUAGUCCCACAUUUGCCCAACGAAAGGGGUGCCUGAAGAUAAGAUAAUCUCAGGAAGAUGGAUACUCAAGGUAAGCUGUGUCUUCAAUUAUAUAUAACCAUAAGCAAAAUUAGAGGGUCAUUAUUGUACAUUUUCUUUCUUCAUGUACCUUACAUUUUGAACCUCAAGAUUAUCCAGCAAGCAUUCCUCAUUUCCACAUUUACUUUUUAUUUUUUAUUUUUUAUAAAGGAUAAUUGAUACAUAGGUUGUUCUCCAACAUAGGACUAUAUCAUAGACACAUACCCACCUACUUUUAAAUCUUUACUUCAAACACAAAUUUAAAAUAGGUUGCCAUGUAAGAUAGAUGUGUCCUAGUAUUAUUAAGUAAAUUACAAUGAAUGCCAUCUACACUUUCAUAUUAUUUUCAAGCAUGUCAUUAACAGCUUUAAUUAUAAUUAAUACUCCCUAUUAAUAGCAUAUCAAUCACCUCAUUUCUUUUGGUUGGCACUCCCUCUAACCCAUCGGCAAUUUCUAAAAAAAUUUGAAUUAAAAAAAAAAACAAUCCUAAAAUUAAUUUUCCAAUAAAUAAUUUACCUAUAAUAUAUAUCGGUACAUUAUAUUUACACACAAAAGUCAGUUACUCUGUACAUCUAUAUAUAUAAAGCAAAAGGCAGAGAAUGGUGAAACAUUCAAAAUACCAGAAAAUGCCCUUGGUUAAUGCAAACAUUAAGAAUUGAAAUUAUUAAUUAAAUGAGGAUAAUAUGGUAAAUUCACAAUUUUUCGUAUUAAAAAAAUUAAAAUUAAAAGAAAAUUUAGAUAAUGGAUCCUAUUUUUAUGGAACACAAAUAUUCAUUAUCUUUUUUAAUUCUAAAAUAAAUUUAAAUUUUUUAUAAAAAAAACCUCUCGCAUGCGCGGAAGCGCGUGUAGAGAGGCUAGUUUUAGUUUAAAAGAAAAGGAAAGAAGGAAAAUGAAAAGCACAAAAUUAGUUUAAAAAUAAUCUGGAUCUCUUGAGAUUAUAUCACUCUUUUUUAGAUGAAAAAUCUAUUAUCUUAAUACAAAUGAUAGCGCAACUUGCAAGGUCUGAUUGAAACAUUAAUCCACAGGUUGCCCAUUACUAAUUGCCACUUGAAUAAGAAACUCUGGCAUCUAUGUCAUUUGAGUAUUGCUAAACGAACCCUAAAAUUAAUUGAGUAUUAUCAAAUUAUUUAUUGAAUUACUAAUUUAUUCUAAUAUAAAAUGACUAAAAAAGAUAUAUGUAUGAAUUAUGAAACAAAUAUAAUUUUAAUAAUUACAACCUACUCGCCAUAUUCAACUCUAAUUAAGCAUAGAAGUUUUCGUAUUGCUAAAGAGGCGAUCAUCACAAACAUAAUGAAAUGUAGCCAAAUAUGAUUACAUCGCCCCAUCACUUUGAGGCGUUCAUUGGAGAUCAGACAAUGGUAGCUAAUUAUUAAGCAUCUGCUAUGUUCUGUUGUACAAAGGAUCGAACAGUCAGCUUAUUAGCCAACAAGCUAUCUCCCAAAACCAAAAAGAAGGAUCCAGUAUUAUUAUCAAUGACCCAAUCCUCAGCUUUUCAAUUUUACACUUGCUGUACAAAGAGACUCAAGUUUUAGAUUGAUGAUUUGUUGAAGGCAGUCCCAAUUGAUCAUGCCUCUUGCCAAAUUGUGACGUUUGCUGAUAGGGCGUAUCAGAGGUAUUUUUGGUAAUUAAAUAGGGUGUACUUUGUUAAUUUUAUAUUUUGAUUAAAAUAUUAUAAUGUACUUAGAUCAUAGGGUGUACUCAGUUAAUUUUAUGACUACAUAAAACUAAUAUAAGUAUGCCACCACCCUAUUAAUUUGAUGAUUGGAACACCAAUCUAGUUUGGGAAGCAAGGUCGCUCAUGUAUUGUUCUUUUUUUUUAAUAUUUCUUUUCAUAAUCGAAAGAGAAUAUAUUGAAUCCCAACAAAAGUAGGCAAGAAGAGAAUCAACAGCCAGCCAUAGCAACAUAUAGAAAGAAUAUAUGUAAUGCAUGAUUAUUUAUAUUGCUAAACAUCUAAUUAAUGCAUGAUUAUUUAUCCAGACAUUAAGUUGUAGUUCACAUAAUUUAUUUAUAUUUUCUAGUAGGUUGUUUGAAAAAAAAAAUUUGUUUUAAUUGUAAUAGACUAUUUGGAUGUGCUUGUAAUAGACUAUUUGUUUUGAUAAGUAGUAGUUAUUUUAUUUUAUCUUCUAACUUUUUUUCUUAAUUAUAUAUAUAUAUAUAUACAGUCCCGAUCUCUUGGACCACAGGAGUCCAAGAGAUUGCGGUCACCCACCGUUGGAUAUUAAUCCAAUGGUUCUAAAAAGUUUUCUAAAAGGAGUGCAAGAGUGAGUGAACCGUUGAAUUUACAUCCAACGGUGAGUGACCACAAAUUUCUUGGACCCCUGUAGUCCAAGAGAUCAGGACUGUAUAUAUAUAUAUAUGUAUGUAUGCAAAUUAUAUAGAAGAUUCUUGUAAAUUAUAUAUAUGCAACUUUUUUUCUUAAUGGAUGUAGAAGAUUCUUGUAAAUUAUGAUUUGUUGAAUUUUGUGGCAAUGAAAAGAACUAGAAAAAGGAAUAGAUAUUAUGAGGAAACCUUUUCCUAUUGUAGAUAAUCAUGCCUUUAAUGGGAAGCAUCUUGCAGAGUGAACCUUUUUCUUUUGUUAUGAAGAAGAAUUAGAUAAUACUUUGUUAGUUUCUUGUAACAAUGUCAAAGGAUAAUGUGGCACUUUUCAUUGUCUGUAUAUGUAGGCAUCAAGAAAUUAAGGAUGUGUCAUCCAAGUAUUCUUCAAUAUUUGCAAAAAGAAAAGGUUCCUUGCAAGCUUACGCCUGCAAUUCUAAACUAUAUAUGGUCACCGUUUACCUUUAUUGUCACAUUCCGGGAUCGGCUCUGUUGUAGCACGAUAUUGUCCACUUUGGGCCCCCCUCUUUGCCCCAACUCGCUUAACUUCGGAGUUCCCAUGACUUCGAAGCCAGUGAGCUCCCAAAAGAUCUCGUGCUAGAUGGAGGCGGACAUGUACAUAUAAGACACAUCACCCUCUCUUCUUUGGUCGAUAUGGGAUGUUACAUUUGCAAUGAACCUUUCUCUUUUGUUAUAAAGAAGAAUUAGAUAAUACUUUGUUAGUUUCUUGUACCAAUGUCAAAGAACAAUAUGGCACUUUUGAUUUUGUAUAUAUAUAGGCAUCAAGUAUAAUAACUAUCAGUCAGCUUGUCUCUGCCUGAAAAUAAUAUAUCUCGAUUACAGAGGUGGCCAAAUCAUCCACCCAAACUGGUAUGUAUCUUUUAAUCGUAUCUGCAAUAUGCAAAAUUUCUUCGUACGUUCGUUGAAAGAUUUCAUGAUUAAUUAGACAUGAUUAAAUUAGAAAUAUUUAGUUAUAAGCAUGUAACUAUUGAAUAUUUAAGUGCUUUAUAUACUUGUAUUUUCUACUUCAGCCUUCCAACUUUAUGAUUCUAGCUCCACCCCGAGUAACAUAGUUGCCUCCAUGUACAACAAUAAUAGCAAACCACCAAAAUGGUCCAUAAUGAGAAGUAUCUAUGAAGGCCAAUAAUGUCUUUGUCAAAGACUCUUCAUGUUAUCAUUCCUCUAAUCUCAUACGUGUUACAUACAUUAUUGGAAAACAUGAAACAUAAAAACAUAUGGGUGCUGAUUUUCCCAUUAUCUUUUUGUCCACAUAGACUUCCUUAGUUUUAAAAAAAAAAUUUAUUUUUUACUAAAACAUAAAAGGAAGUGUAAGUGAACAAAAGAUGAGUGGGAAAAUCGGCUCCCAAAAUAUAACGAAUUAUAUUGAGCUAAAAGUGUCAACAAUCCUUUCAACAUACUCAUUAAAUAUCUUUAGCCAUAAUUAACCCUUUUGUUAAUGGGAACCAAAAAAGAAAUAGAGGAAGCUACACAUUUUUAAUUGAAUAAACAGGGCUUGAAUGGGGAGCGGGUUGCAAGGAAACUUUUCUUUUUGCAAAUAUUGAAUAAUACCUUGGAUGACAUUUUGUGAAUUUCUUGUAACAAGGUCAAAGGUCUUUCCUCAGUUAGUUCCACAGAUUGUAGAAAGAGCUGUAAGCUUGCCUGAAAAUAAUAUCUUAUACCAAGGAGGAGUCAUCUAGUCAGCCAACGAUUCAACUCAAGUACUUACGAAUAAGAUGGUAAGCUUUAUCAUCCUCAACCUAUGAUCAUAAUUUGAUUUGACCUACAAACGUUAUCAAUUAACUCUAGAGUUUUUGACAUGCAAUAUUAUAAAUUUAAAAAGCACAUAUACUGUCCGAUGCUGGCUUACUAACUAAAGUAAAAUUUUGGCUCUGCCAUACACAUGAUGACAGAGGGGCCGUGCACAUAUUUCAGGGACGCCCCAUAGGCAUGGCGAUAGAGGUAUAGCGCAUGAUGGUGCUUCAAGCAUACCAACCAGUGAUGAGGGAUCGAUAAUUGGAAAUUCGAGUGAUUCAGUGGCGAUUGCCAUACAGCAAUUAAUCCGAAGCACGCCUGAUCUGAGGCCUGAGUGUUGCAUCUACAAUGUCCCGGAGAGAUUUCGCAAGGGGAAUGAAGAAUUCUACAAACCUCGUGUAGUCGCAAUCGGACCUUAUCACUUCAAAGAUGCAAGCUAUGCCAUGUGUAAGCCCAAAUACGUGGACGCCUUUUUCCGCCGGAACAAGCUCAACUUGGACCAUUGUCUUGGAUUAGUGAGAGCAUGGGAAGCAAAAGCAAGGAGCUAUUAUGUGAAGCAUAUUGAACUAAGUAGUGAUAAAUUUACUUUUAUCAUGCUGAUGGAUGCAACUUUUGUUUUGGAACUCAUGCUUAGGCAUCACUUUUCUAGAUACAGAGAUAAUUGUGAUCCGAUAUUUCACAAGCCGAGGAUGAUUGAAGACGUUUACCACGACAUCUUGUUGAUCGAAAAUCAACUUCCCUUCUUCGUCCUUGAGGGUUUGUACGAGCAAAUCGGUACGAAUAGUCUCACUCCAGGAGAUGAUCAUCUUUCUUUCACCAUGCUAACUCAUGAGUUCUUCAAGCAUUUCGUGAAAAUUGAUAAGUUUCCCGCCCAUGUUGUCUCUGCUAAUGAUCAAGUGAAUCAUUUUGUUGAUUUUAUACGACGCUACUACUUGGCGCCGCCACCGCCUCAAGAGGACCAGCAAAAACAUAACGCUAAUGUUCAUGAAAUUCCACCAAGCGUGACGGCACUCGAUGAGGCCGGAGUUAAGUUUGAGACAAUUAAAGGCAGUGCCUCCUUGCUUAACAUAGAAUUCAAGAAUGGCCGUCUCAAAAUUCCAAAUUUCAUAGUAGACGACUGGACAGAAACUCUCUUCAGGAACCUGAUUGCUUUCGAGCAGUGCCACGACACAGAGAAGUACAUUUCCCAGUUUAUGUUCCUCAUGAUGUGCAUGAUCAGGACUUCAAAGGACGCAGAUUUACUCAUGGACUCCGGAGUCAUAUCUAGCAUGCUAGGGAGUAGUAAAGACCUCUCCAUUCUAUUUAACCAUAUCAACAGAGACGUUGGCUUCGGAGAGCCUUUUCAUUACUUUCAGAUUUGUGCAAAUCUAAAUGCAUACUGCAAUACCCCUCGGCACCGGUGGAAGGCAAUUCUGAAGCGAGACUAUUUCAACACUCCAUGGAAACUUGCUUCUACUAUUGCUGCAAUUAUACUCCUUGUGCUCACAUUCAUCCAAACCAUAUGCUCUAUCUUAUCCCUCUAAUGCCCUGUUUGGUUCACGGAAAAAAUUUGAGGGAAAAUCACUUCCUAUGUUAUUUUUCAAUGGAUGGAAAAUGGAAGAUUCAUUUUCCACGUUUGAAGAGCUAUCAGUUUAUUUUAUUUCCCAUGUUUGUUUUGUGUAGGAAUGGAAAACAAAGUUUGUAUAAUUUUCCAAUUAUACCCAUAUUAAAUCAAAUAAAAAAAGAAUGUAUUUAAUGAUAUAUUGUAAUUCUAAAUUGUUAAUGGGGACAAAAUGGUCAUGAAAAAUGUGCAUUAAAUGUUGGCUCAUUUUUCCAAACUUUUCCAUGAGGAGGGAAAACAAAACCCAAGUUGAGAUAAGGGCUUCACUUUUCCCCUACUUUCCCAUGUGUUAGGCAACCAUUUCUCAUGCCUGAACUUACUAAAUAUUGGAAAGCAAUUGAUUUCUCAUCCCCAAACCCCCUUUCACAUGAACCAAACAGGGCCUAAGAUGAGACAUUACGAAUCGACAACCAACACUACAAGAAAAAAUGUCAGCAAUGACCAAUUUCCUUAUGACCACAUGAAUAAUGGUCACAAAUACAGUAAAUUUAAUGACUAAUAAUACUACGUGGUCACUAAAAUGAUUGACCAAUUGGUGGGCAGCAUAGCCGAGGGGUAAAUCUAGCGUCUCCAAGGCCUUUUCCAGCGAAGGGAGGUAUAGUUGCACCUCAUUGCGCAUGAAUGGAUCCGCCAGUACAGACAACUCUUUAACCCCCAUGGUAUCGCAGUCUUUCGCAUCUCAAUGCAUUGUGAAAUUACGACUUGUCCACUGAUGGACAUAUCUUAUAUUAUAUAUUUAACCUCAUUCUUAGUAUAUUUUGGUUAAUAUUUUGGAAGAAUUUUGAUACUUUGAAUUAUAUUUCCAAUAUAGGACUUUCAACACUCUCUGGAGCAAAACAUAAUCAAAUUAACGAAUUUUGGAGUAAUUCCAGUUGGAAGACGUUCGUGAGUCACUUAGCUUGAUCGUAUCAAAAUUUCAGAUUUUUCUUCCAAGCGAUUAUUUUCUGGCAAUAAAAUAAAAGAGCAGUGCGCGGUGCUGGAAUAGUGACGUGUUGGGGUUUUAUUGCGUUUUUGGAGCCCAAGAUGACCUCGGAUGGGUUCGUGGCCUUCUAGCGAAGUGUUCAGAACAUUUUUAUCUUUAAAACAAGCUAUAUUGGGCCAGAUUUGGAGGAAAUUUGGGGCCAAAACGUGGCUGGCAGAUUUUGGGCAGAUUCUCCUAUUCCAAUUUGGAUUUUAUUUCCUAGUAUUAUUUUAUUUUAAUUAGUUUCCUUGUGGAGAUAGAAAAGCUGUACAUUGGCAGCUAGGUUUUAAGGGGUAUUUAAGCUCUUUCUCAUAAGGAAUUUAGGAUUUCUUUUUCACUUUUUCACUUUGCAUUGCGGAGAGCAAUUGCUAGGGUUUUGGGUUUUCGCAACUUUCAGGUGUUUUCGUUCUUUUCUUCUUAAUGAUAUUUUCUUGGAUUUCAAUUAUGAGUAUGCGUAACUAAAUUUCUUUUGCUAGGGUGAAGCCUUGAACCUUAGCAUGAAUAUGUGAUUUUUAUUUAAUUGCUUAUGAUGAGUGCAUGCCUACUUGAAUUGUUAAUCACUGUUUUAAACUAUCUAAUUGUCUUAAUGCCUGAUCACCAUUAGGAUCUUUAGAAAAGUAAUUGGAUGCAAUUUUGGUCGAAAGGUUCCCUGAAAUUGAUGCUAGCUUCUUGUGAUUAAUAAUUGUAAUUUCACUUAAGAUGAAUACCAUGUCUUAAGGGUUGCAUGGUUUUUCAAAGGGUUUUCACAAAACUUAAUGAGUCUUUCAUGUUCAGAUUUGAUCCGAACGUCCAGACGGGUUGCAUGUUGGAUAUACGUUCUGUGUUGGAGGUUCCAAGUAGAAUAUACAUUAGGAAAACCUAACCUUCAAAGUAGCAUGUGCAAAUCAAAAGUAAUUGGUAAAAGUUCAUAGGAUUGCUAGGUGAUGGUGAAACCCUAGUGCUUUUAUAAAUUGAUAUUCAAAACUCUUUCCUUCAAUCGUAUUUGUUUUUGUUUAAUAUUUGUUUUUAGAAUCAACCAAAUUCAUAAUCAUCUUUCUUGACCUUUUAUUUUAAGUAGUUAUUUGGAAUUUAUUUUUACUUAAAUUGCUAAUUAGUCCUUGAGGAAAAUGACCUUGCAUGAGCAUCUAUACUACAAUAGCCUUGUAUUCUUGCAAGUAUUUUAUGUGAUUUUAACCCUGUUUGCACAGGUACUAAAAAUCCUUUCAUUCACCGCAUUCUAUUGCUUGCAUUAAGGACAUCACAUUAUUAUGCGUCCUCAUGUCCAAACUUCCACAAACCCCAAAAGUUCAUCUCGGCUAGAUGUUUGUGCGCAAGCUUAACAUCUCAAACACAUCAUUACGAGCCAAUCAAGACGUGGCCUUCACAAUAGACAACCCCUGCGAAGCAGCUAUCUUGCAAGGAUCUUUCUUUUUUUUUCUUUUUUUUAAGUUUUAUAAAGAAGACUUACGUUUGAGCAAAUUUCUGCAUGGGGAAUUUUCUUUGGUUGAUUCUUCGCCUUUUGAGCUUCCUUUUCUCUCUUCUUCCUCGAUCCUUGUGAAAAAAGUUGGAGUAAAUAGACCACACUCGCUGUAUGUCGGCCAAAGGCCUUCCGAUGCCUAAGUCAGUUAAAUGAUCUUGAAAAAGAUGCGGAGGUAAUGAAAAGGAAGGAGGUCUUCUCUCAUGGAGAAAAUCAAAUGGCCAGAACCGUGUAUGUGGGUGGUAAGAGCCAUGAGGGAAAGAGAGCCAAGAGUGGCGUGAGAGAAAGAAAGCUUUUUGUUUAGGGUUUCAGAAUUACCUCUUGUGUUGUAUAGCCAUGUAUUUAUAGACUCCUUGUAGGAUAAGGUUUGAAGAAUAAUCCUUAUUUGUUUAGGAUUAUUCUUACCCAUAAAUAGGAGAUUGGAAUUAAUCAAGGAGAUUUGAUUUGAGGAGAUAUUCUCAUCUUAAAUAAAAAAUAAUUUCUCUAAUUAAAUAGAAUUAAUUAGGGUAAUCAGUUGACUUAAGGAUAUUCCCUUUCCACAUGUCGCCUAUCUAUUGGUUGCUGAAAUAUGUGUUCCCACAACUUAGAUAAUACUUUUUCUUUUUUUGUUUUGUUUCACGGGUAGAUAAUACUUUGUUAAUUUCUUGUAACAAUGUAUACUUUGUUAAUUUCUUGUAAUAAUGUCAAAGAACAUGAAGAAUAAUACUUUGUUAAUUUCUUGUAAUAAUGUCAAAGAAUAAUAUGGAACUUUUCAUUCUGUUAUAUACACAUUAAUUAUAAUGAUCAGCCACUUUCAGAGCUUGUCUCAAAUGCCUGCCUGAAAACAAUACAUCUUGAUUACAGAGGUGGAGUCAUCUAGUGAAAAUCAUCCACCCAACCUGGUACGCCUUAUGUCUUUUUAAUAAUAAAUUAUGCAAAAUUUACAUGUGUAGAAAGAUUUCAUGAUUAAAUUUGAUCUUUUUAGCUACCCGAACAUAAUCACUUAACAUACUCUUUUGCAUUCUGAUAAGAUGUUGAAAUGAACCCAAAAAAACAUCAAACCCACCUGAGUUAAGGCGGGAAAUAUAUAUAUGGCAAUUGGGUUGGAGCUCAGCUUAACUCCGUCACUUGUAUUCUAGAGGUAUUUUAUCUCAACAACAAACGAGUCAAGUAAUGCUAGUAGUGCCUAGAGAAUUUUUAAGAGUGUCCUUGGAAAUAUUUCUAAUGGAAAUAUGGAUGAAAAUAGAUGGAGGUGAUUGGUGUUUGUGAAUCUUUUUUUUAAAAUAAAAUAAUCUUUUUUCUUCCAAGAACCAGGUAGACUAACGAGAUACUGUAAAAUUAUUUAUUUGUGUUAAACUUAAAAUCUUAAAAUAUGAUAACUUAACAAGCAAUUGUCUUGAUCCAAAUACAAUUUUAAAUUAUAUGUUCUUUUAUUUAUUUUAUGUAAUCGAUGACAACUUAACGAGAUAAUUUUUUAUUUAUUUAAAAAAAGGUUUAAUGACCCGGCAAUUUGGACCAGAGGUUCGUCCUCCUCCUGACUCAAAGAGGUUGGGUGCUACGACAAUAAUUAAAAAAGGUCCAUGUCAAUGGGCGCGACUAUUUCCGUGGAAGGGGCGACACAAGGCGUCGUCUUCUCCAAAGGAAACUUCAUCAACGACGGAUGUUCGAAGUGCAUCUACAAAUGCUGGACCAGCAGUGGAGAACCCAAACCCGCGUGAUCAAGCCGCGCUUCCAUCUGAGGGUUUAGCGUCGCGAGAAACGCCGUCAUCUGGGCUGCCAAAGGAGAUUUCAAUGACAACACGAGGUCCUCCAAGUCCAAGAGAAUCAACCAAUGCUGCUGGACCAGCAGCUGCUGCAGCAGUGGAGAACCCAAACCCGCGCGAUCAAGUGGCGAUUCUAAUUGAGGGUAAGAUGCGAGGAACGCCGCCGUUUUCGCCAGAUUGUGCUAUUUACCAAGUCCCCGAGAGAUUUCGCAAUGGAAAUGAACAACACUACAAACCCCGGGUGGUCCCAAUCGGACCCUAUCACUCCUACCACGGAAGUUUCCCACAAAUGCAAAGCUAUAAGCUCAAAUACGUAGAGGCCUUCACCAGCCGAAACGGGCUCGGAUUCAUAGACCAAUGCCUUGGCUUUGUGAGAAGUUGCGAGAUAAUAGCCAGGAGAUAUUAUGUCGUGCCCAUUGACCUAAGCAGUGAUGACUUCGCCGAGCUGAUGCUGGUGGACGCAAUUUUUGUCUUGGAGCUUAUACUCAGGUAUCAGUUUGCCCAAUAUAUAGACGACGGCGAUCGAAUAUAUCAUAAGCCGCGGAUGAUAGCAGAUGUUUUCCUUGAUGUCGUGUUGUUGAUCGAGAACCAAAUUCCCUUCUUUCUUCUUGAGGGUUUGUAUGACCUUGUUGAUAGCCGCUACAAAGGAAAUCUCAGCUUCUUUGUGGAUCUUACGCAUGAGUUCUUGAAGGAUUACGUCAAAAUCGAUGAGUUUCCUGCUGAUCAUGCACCUGUGCCUCAAGUUAACCAUGGAGUGAAGCAUUUUGUUGAUUUUAUACGAUACUACUACUUGCCCCCGUCUCCUGUGGAGGGUGAAAAUCACGAUAGGCCUAGGGAGGGUGAAAAUCCCAAUAGUCAUCCUAGGGUUGAAGAAAUCCCACCAAGCGUGACAGUGCUAGACGAUGCCGGAGUUCAGUUUGUGACAAGAAGAACAACCUUCUCACUUGACAUACAAUUCAACAACGGAAGUCUCAUAAUUCCGAAUUUUAGAGUUGACGAUUGGACGGAAACUCUCUUCAGGAACCUCAUCGCCUUUGAACAGUGCCACGAUCACCAAAUGAAGUACAUUUCGCAAUUUAUAUUCCUCAUGGGGGGCAUGAUCAAUACUUCAAAGGACGUGGACUUGCUCAUUGAACAUGGAAUUAUAUCUAGUAUGCUGGGGAGUAACGAUGAUCUGUCCGCUCUAUUUAACCGCAUUGGCCAAGGGGUUGCGGUCAAUGCGCAAACUUAUCGUUAUCUUAUCCUUUCCCAAAGACUCAAUGCCUACUGCAAGGCUCCUUGGCACAUAUGGAAAGCAAUUCUGAACCGGGACUAUUUCAACACUCCAUGGAAACUUGCUUCUACUAUUGCUGCAAUUAUACUCCUUGUGCUCACACUCAUCCAAACCAUAUGCUCUAUCUUAUCCCUCUAAGAGGAGACAUUACGGAUCGACAACCAAGAACAAUCUUUUCACCAUACUCAUUAAGUUUCAUCCUCAUAAGCACUCGUUGUUUAUGAAUCUCCAUAUAUAAUAACAAAGUGUUUUAGUUCCAUUUAUGUUUAGUACCCUUAUAAUAUUUUUCAUUUUUGAAGAAAAAAAAAUGCAGUGACAGUAAAUUAAAUAAAAGUUCAAAUGCAUCUUCCCAAGGACUAUCUUAAUUAAUUAGGCCCAAAUGUUAGAAUUACAUUGUCUUUAUUGCAAAUUCCUAAAGAAUUUUUCUUCAGUACAAGUGAUUUGGGGGGAAGGGGUUUAUACAAAUAUUCAUUGGGUGCUUGAAAGUAUCGAACCUCUGCCCAUAUAGGUGGAGGCAGAAAAGCUUAACCAACAGAGGUAUACCCCAUUGGCAAAAACACAAAAUUCUUAAACGUGGGCAAUUUUUGGACUUCCGAAAAUUUUACCAUUAGAGCCUAAUUUAUUUUUGGCAUUUCAACGAACUUCUGAUUCUCGAAGUUUAAUCAUAUUCAUAUCUGCUAUCAAACGACUGUUGUUGAGAACUUCUAGUAGUUAUAUUUUCUAUUAUCAAAUUCUACUAGUUAUUCAUUUUACUCUCAUUUAGCAAAUGUUAGGUGUAAUCGCUUUCAAGUUACAACGACCUCUACUCUCUAGUAGUUAUUCAGUUUUACCCUCCCCCUUUAUAUUAACUCUCUUUCAUUCAUUUCUUUAUUCCCAUCUCUCUCGCAAUCACCCUAGUAACCUUCUAUUACAUUACUUGCGUUAAUUAAUUCCUCUUAAUUAAGCAUGGAAAUUAAUGCAAAAGCUGAUCACCACUCAACCACAGAGCCAUUGCUCCUAAUUUCAAGCAACCCUUCAAACCCCAUCGUGUCCCAGUCAAUCGCAUCCCAAUCCAUUGCAAGAUUAGUGCAACUCCACCGCAUUCUAUUACUUGCAUUAGGGACAUUCACAUUGUUAUGCGUCUUCAUGCUCACGCCCACACAAACCCCAAAAAUCCAACUUGACUCGCUCUUCGUGUCCAAGCUUGACGUAUCAAACACAUCACUAGGUGCCAGUUGGGACGUGGCCUUCACCAUAGACAACCCCAACAUGGUCUCAUGGGUUCACUUCGACCGGAUAGAAGGUUCAAUUUUAUACAAAGACAGCCCUCUGGCGAUAUAUUUUGUCAAGCCAUUUGACUUGGGUUUGAAGGAACAAAGAAUGAUGCAUGUGAAGAUAUCGAUGACCAGAUUACAGAAUCAGCCGGCGAUGAAGGUGUCAGAUUUGGAAGAAAUGAAUAGGCAACGUGAAGAUGGUGCUGUGGGUUUGAAGAUGGAAAUGUUCGCAUGGGCUACUUAUAAGAAGGGUUGGUGGGGAACACAAGAUGUCAUGAUGGAGGCUCAUUGUUUGGGUUUGAGGAUUGGCUUCUUGCCUAAAGUUGGGUUCGGUAGCUGGAUCAGUGGAGGGCCAAUGACUUGCUCGACUGUAUGAAGUUGAUUAUAUCGGAAAUUUGUAUAUUUUGUUAGGUAGUACUAGGGUUGAAGUUGUAAUUUGAUGGAUGUAGAAGAUUCUUGUAAAAAAUUAUGAACAAGGAGGAACUUGUGUGUCUUUCUCUAGGGAUUAAUGCAUUAAAAGUGAACGUAAUAUGGGAGCCUUCUUUUGAUCUUUACCCAUGUUUAAAUGCCAUCAAAAUGAGUAAUCUUUUAAUGUGACUAUAACACUAUCAGGUUGUGUUCUUAAUCCAUAGUGUUGGUUUGGCAUUGAUUAUUAAAUUAAUAUAAUAUUACUAAGCUAUAGCAUUAUAUUAAUGAAAUAUAGUAUUUAAUGUGAAGUCCCCUUUAAAGUGGAGCUUUGUACAAUCGCUUAUUAUGCACUUGCUAAUAGGGUGUGCAUUCAAACCGGCAAACCAGAAACCUGAACUAAAUCACAUCAGAAAAAAUCGUGACAAAAUCGAGUUGACCAAAAAGUCAAUAUCUAGUCAAAAAACGAACCAAACAAAUUUGACCGAUUUUAGUUUCUGUUCUAUACCUCUAAAAACUGAAUCAGACCAAACCAGACUAGCUUGAAUAUAAUUAAUUUUUAUGUUUUAAUUUUUACCUUAGCCAAUUCCAACUUGAAGCCCAAGACCUUAUACCUCAGCCAAAAUCCAAGGGCUUGAAGCCCAUCUUCUCUCUCUCUUCCUUUCUCUUUUUCUUCUUUCUUCUUUCUUCUUCUUUUCUCUCUUUCGUGUGCCUGUGCGGACACUCUCUCUCUCUUCUUCUUCCCACGUUUUCUUCUUUCUUCCUCUCUUUUUUCUUCUUCUUUUUUCUCUUCCUUGUGCCUGUGCCGACAGUCUCUCUCUCUCUUCUUCUUCCUCCUUUUUUUUCUUCUUUUUCUAUCCCUCUCUUCUUCUCUCUUUCUCUCUUUUUCUUCUUUCUCUUUUUUUAUUCUUAUUCUUUUCUCUCUUCCAUGUGCCGAGACUCUCUCUCUUUUCUUCUUCCCCCCCCCCCUUUUUCUAUCCCUUCUUCUCUCUUUCUCUCUUUUUAUUUUUUCUUCUCUCUUUCUCUCCAGAAGAAAAUCUAGCCUCAACUUUUUCUUCUCUUCCUCUUCUUUUCUCUGUUUGAUUUCUCCUUUUGUUUUUCUCGAUAGAUUGGAGGAUAUGUUUUUCAUUUUGCUGGAUCUAAUUACUGGAAAAGGGCAGCCAGAGAAGCUGCAAAUUUUGUGUUUUUACUGAUUGCUGAGAUCUGGGUUUGUUGGGAUGUGGUUGUGUUAUUAUGUAUAUCAAUUGAUUGUAUUUUAGGGUAUCAACAACUAGGUUUUUAGAGGUUGUUUGUGGUGGUUGAUUUUUUUUUUUUUUUUUUUGCAUAUAUGUUGCCAUUGAAAUUCUACAAGAAGGGAAUAUUAUCGGAUGGAGAAGUGUAGAUAUGUAACCCUUGAGCUGAUAUCUUGAAGCCUAAAGUUACAAAUUUUGAAUUUCAUUUUAUAAGAUUUAAUUUUUUGAUGUAAUCUGAGUCAUUGGAUCAUAGUCCAAGUGGUAUCUUCUCUAGCCUAGGAUCUAAGUGUUAGAUUAUGACAAGUGGAAUCAUCUCAUAGGAUGAUAGGAUCAAAGGCUAGGAUUUAAUCUUGGUGUAAAUCUGUUAGAGAAGCAUCUCACUUCUCUCUCUCUCUCUCUCUCUCUCUCUCUCUCUCUCUCUCUCUCUCUCUCCUAACAGAUAUAUUUGAAUAGUGGAGUGAAAUGAAAAAUAGAACCCUUCAGUAUUUUUUGCAGCACCAUAGUUGCAUUUUGUCUGCAACUUUCCUUCUUUCCAAACACUCAAAAUCUCCAUAAAACUAAACACAAAAAGCUAUGAAUUCUAACAUGGCCUCAGAGCUAGAUUCGGUUGCCUAAAUUGGGUAUGAAUCUGUGAACAGAGAAUUGGAAGAGCCAGGUUUGGUUGCCUAAACUAGGCGUGAAUCUGUGAACAGAGAAUUGGAAUCAAUUCGAGCUGUGCUCGAGCUCAUUCAACGAUCGAGGUGGUGUGAUUUCUUGAAUCCAAUGUCUAAUAUAAUAUGGCAGGAUCGAGCACCACUGAGCUUAGCACGCCAAUUUUCAAUGGAGAAAAUUAUGAGUUCUAGAGUAUUCGGAUCAAAACCAUUCUGAAAUCUCAUGGGUUGUAGGAUCUUGUUGAAAAUGGUUUCGAUGCUUCAGAUCCAAAAAAGGAGAAGAAGAAGAUAGAAGAGAGUGAGGUCGCUGAAGUGGAGAAGCCUACGAUGGCUGAAAUUCUGAUGAAGGAUGCUCGCGCACUUGGGUUGAUCUCAGGUGCCGUCUCAGAUCCAAUGUUCCCCAGAAAUCGUGAACGAGGAGACCUCAAAGGGUGCUGGGGACAUUCUGAAGCAAAAGUUCAAAGGAGAUAAGCAAGUAAGGAGUGUAAAAUUGCAAGGUUUGCGUCGUGAAUUUGAAUACACUCGUAUGAAAUAUAGUGAGUCCUUAUCUGUAUACAUUGCUAGACUAUUCGAUAUAAUGAAUCAAAUGAAGAGUUAUGGUGAGGAUCUGUCUAGGGAAAGAGUUGUGCAAAAACUGUUGAUUAGUUUGCCUAGAUCAUAUGACCCUAUUUGCUCUAUGAUUGAACACUCUAAGGACCUUGAAACUUUUGAGGUUCAAGAGGUAGUUGCUUCUCUGAAAAGCUUUGAGCUCAGAUUGGAUAGACAUGCUAAAAACUCUACAUAGAGGGCUUUUGCUAGUCUAAAUGUUAGAGGUAAAAAUCCUACAGGUGGAAGUAAUUCUGGAAAUAAAAAAUCUCAGAAAAACUGGAAAUCCAAUGAAAAGAAAUGGGAUAGUAAGCCUAAUUCUACUUCUAAACCAAAUGUCUCUAUUAAUGGAAACAAAACAGCUUGUAAACACUGUGCUAAACUGUAUUAUGGAAAAUGUUGGUUUGAAGGGAAGCCUAAAUGCACAGGUUGUGGGAAGUUUAGGCAUGUGAUCAGAGACUGCAAUGGAAAUAAACCUAUACAAAAGGUGAACUAUGCAAACUAGGUUGAAGAAACUGGUACUUUGUUCUAUGUAUGUAAUGUUGUGACAAAUGUGAAGGUGAACCAUUCAUGGUACAUUGAUAGUGGUUGGAGUAAUCACAUGACAGGUGAUGAAAGGUUAUUAGUUAACAUUCAAAGGAACUUGACUUCCAAGGUGAAGAUGGGAACUAGAGAAAUUGUUUAGGUUGCAGGAAAAAGAACUCUGGAGAUAGAGACCAAAUUGGGUCGAAAACACAUACAAGAAGUGAUGCUUGUUCCAGGACUUGAGGAGAAUCUUCUCAGUGUUGAACAAAUGAUGGAACACGAUUAGGGGUGGCAUUUUUGACCGAAAAAUUAAAAAACCGCAAAAACCAACCGACAUUUAACGGCAAUGGAACCGUAAUCGUGGGAAACCAAACCGCAUUUGCGGUAUGAAGAACCGAACCUCAUUUGCGGUUGCUGUUGCGGAAUUUGAUUUUCACAACUUGCGGUUACCGCAAACCGCGACUACAUUUUUAAAAAAAUAAAAAUUACAUUUUAUUAUUUAAUCGUAGCCGUUGUAUAACAAAACCACUUAUCUUGUAAGUAAUUAGUUUAUUUAUGCUUACGUUAUUUAUGCUUCUUUUUAUAAUAAAAUGUAUUAAACUUAUAUUGUUUUAUUUGUAGAUAACAUUGGUGCUCAAACAACACAAUGGGGUCCUUCAAAUCUACUCACCACCACCAACACUUGAGUUUGUAACAUUGGUGCAUUGCAUUUUCCUUUUAGUUUGUAAUUUUAAUUAACUUUGAAUUGGAUAUUUUCUUUGGGUUGUAACUUUAAUUCAUUUUGCAUUGCAUUUUCCUUUUGGUUUGUAACUUUAAAGGAUUUGGAAUUGGAAUGCUAGAGAAGUUUAACUUUAAUUGGAAUGCUUGGAAUUGUAACUUUAAUUUUCUUUAGGUUGUGGAUGCUUAAGAAGUUGAGGAGGUUGUGAAUUUAUAUAUGCUUGAGAAGUUGAGGCUGUGAAUUUAUAUUUUUGGGAUAAAGUAUGCUUGAACUCAAAAUACUUCAAAAGAAGCAUCAAAACUAGGCCUAAAAUGUGGAAGAUUAGAUUUUUAUGACACAAAAAGAACUUGCGGUUUUAAACUGCUAGCAGUAAACCGCAAAAUGCGGUCGGUUUGCAGUUUCAAAAAUUACCAUACCGCAAAUAGUUGACCGCAAGUUCUUUUUGUGUCAUAAAAAUCUAAUCUUCAAAACUAGGCAUAAAAUUACCAUACCGCAAAUAGUUGACCGCAAGUUCUUUUUAUGACACAAAUUAUUUGCAUAAUUUGAUAAGUGCUGCAGUGAGCUAGGAAUUCAAAGAUAGUUGACUGUGGCCUACACUCCUCAACAAAAUGAAGUAUCGGAAAGAAAGAAUAUGACAGUGGUGGCAAUGGCCAAAUCAAUGUUACAUGAAAAGAACCUUCCAUAUGAAUUUUGGGCAGAAGCAGUGAACACUACAGCUUAUUUGCUUAAUGGGUGUCCUACCAAACCAUUGAAUAAAACAACUCCAUUUGAAGCUUACAGUGGCAGAAAGUCAGGGAUCGCUCAUUUGAAAGUCUUUGGCUCACUUUGCUAUGUGCACAUCCCCUCUAAUCUCAAGCAUAAGUUGGAAGAAAACAAUCGUAAGUGCAUCUUUGUAGGUUAUGGUGCAAGUAAGAAAGGGUACAGGGUGUUUGAUCCAAGUUCCAGAAAGAUCAUCUUGUCCAGAGAUGUACUCUUUGAUGAGAAUGCUAUAUGGAAGUGGGAGAAAAUUGAUAAAAGUGAAAUGAGAGUCACAAUGAUUGCUAAGAAUCAAAUGGCAAACUGCAGUAAAGGACAGAAGCAAUUUGAAGUCUGUGAACCAAGUCAAUCCUUGGAUACAUCAACUCAAGUGGAUGAAGUUAUUACACCACAGAGUGAGGAUAUGUCUGCAAGCUCUCAAGCAAUUGAUCACACACCACAGAAAUGGAGAAGCAUUAAUGAGAUCAUGGCUCAGUGUAACAUGUGUAUUGUAGAACCUGAGAGCUAUUAAGAAGCUGCUAUAGAUGAGUCAUGGAAAAAUAAAAUGAAAUCUGAACUGGAAAUGAUUGAGAAAAACAGCACAUCGGGGUAGUACAAAUAGAUAAAAACAUUUUUAUUCACCAGAGGAAAUAUGCAAUGAAGCUCAUUGAGAAAUUUGGAAUGAAAGAUUGCAAAACUAUGGCAACACCACUAGUUGUGAAUGAGAAGUUAUGCAAGGUAGAUGGCAGUUAAGCAGCAAAUGAGAGUGAAUAUAGACAGGUUGUAGGUAGCUUGCUAUACUUGACUGCUACAAGGCCGGAUAUAAUGUUUGCUUCUAGCUUACUUGCUAGAUUCAUGCAUAACCCCACAAAGAAGCAUAUGGGAACAGCCAAGAGGGUGUUGAGAUACAUUCAGGGUACUCUUGAUUUUGGAAUUGAAUUUGUGAAAGCAAAGACAACUACUCUAAUGAGGUACUGUGACAGUGACUGGGCAGGAAGUGAGGAUGACAUGAGAAGCACUUCAGGGUAUGCCUUUACCCUAGGAUCUGGUAUGUUUUCAUGAGCAUAGAUCAAACAAAAUACAACGGCAUUGUCCACUUCAGAAGCGGAAUAUGUUAGUGCUGCAGAAGCAACAUCACAGGCUAAAUGGCUAAUGUUUGGGCUUGAAGAUUUUGGAGAGGAGCAAGUGGAAGGCACACCAAUUCUGUGUGAUAACACCUCAGCCAUAGCAAUGGCAAAUAAUCUAGUUCUUCAUCAGAAAACUAGGCACAUCAGUCGAAAGUUUCAUUUCAUCAGAGAAGUCAUUCAAGCAAAAGAGAUCGAACUUGUCUACUGCAAAACGGAAGAUUAGAUUGCAGAUAUAUUAACCAAGGCCUUGCCAAAGGAUCGAUUUGCUUGCCUAAGAGGACUGCUUAGUGUGAAAUCAGCUAAAGGGUUAGAAGAGAGUGUUGAUGUGUAACCCUUGAGUUGAUAUCUUGAAGCCUAAAGUUACAAAUUUUGAAUUUCAUUUUAUAAGAUUUAAUUUUCUGAUAUAAUCUGAGUCAUUGGAUCUUGACAAGUGUAAUCAUGUCAUAGGAUGAUACGAUCAAAGGCUAGGAUUUAAUUUUGGUGUAAAUCUAUCAGAUAAGCAUCUCACUUCUCUCUCUCUCUCUCUCUCUCUCUCCUAACGAAUAUAUUUGAAUAGUGGAGUGAAAUGAAAAAUAGAACCCUUCAGUAUUUUUGGCAGCACCAUCGUUGCAUUUUCUCUGCAACUUUCCUUCUUUCCAAACACUCAAAAUCUCCAUAAAACUAAACACCAAAAGCUAUUUAUUCUAACAAGAAGAUUGAAAAAAAAAAUUAGCUAGAAUUGUUUGCCGGUCCAAAUCGGGAAAACUGGAAAUCGGUCCAUGUUGAUUUCAUUGAGUUAUUAAUUUUUUUAUCAAAAUCGGACCGAACCAAAUGAACAUUAUGAUUUUGGUUCUAAAAUUGACUGAGAAUCGAGCCCAACUUGACCGUGGCCAGCACUACUUGCUAAUUAAAAGCCUGCUCUGAAACUUGAUUAUAAUACUAAGUAGAAAAUUAUAUUAGGGACGAAUGGCAAAUUCCAUGGCACUAAUCAGUGGAGAGACAACACAAAACCUUUCAUCAUUAUAGAACAUAUGGAUUUGCAGAAGAAUAAAUAUAACAAAUAUAAUAAUUAAAUAUAAAAUUUUGUUCUAAGAAGUUUGUAAUCUGGAACUUCAAUUAACAAAAUUAAUAACAAAUUUAAAAACUAAGACCACCUAUUCGGAAUGCAGAGGCUAACCACACACUGACGCAAAACUUUCAUCUAUAUCACCCACAUCAAACAUAUAUUUGAUGUGGUUAGGAUUCUUAUUAUAAGUUUUUUUUUUAUUUAAAAAAUAAAGAAAGAGAAACUUCAUUAAUUUGCCAAAUUACAAAAAAAAAAACCCCAAACUAUAGGAUUAUUUUCAAAUUCAUACCCACUUUAGAUUUUGUUGGCAUUCUAGUGAGGGUGGUGACUGGUAACCUCCUUUGUAAAAAGUAGUACAACCAGAACAACUGUAAAGAAAAAGAAGGAAUAUGAGAAUGAAUAAAGAAGCCAAUAAUUUGGGGCACUCAGCUUUAUAAAAGUGGCUUCAAUAAAUAAAAUUUAAUGAAAAUAAUAAUUUAAAAGUGGCUUUCACCUGCACCUCUCCUCCCACUUCCCAAGCUCUGCUUGUUUUGUUCUUUUUCUUUUCUUCUUUUGGGUCGAAACAGGGAGAUUGCUUUGUUAACGUUUUCUUCGUCCUAAUCUUGACUACAGAGGUGAACUCAAACUGGUAAGGCUUAUGGAUUUUAAUCAUGUAUGCAAAAAUUUGUUUCUACAUUUGUUGAAAGAUUUCAUGAUUUAUUGCUUUCUACAUAUAUUAGAAAUAUAUAUGUUGUGACCAAAUUUUUUCAAAAAAGAAAAUGCUUAACUUUAAUUAAAAUGUUUUGAAUUUGAAGGAUGAACAGAAAGAGGAGAUGCGGUAAUCUAAGUUUUGGUGGAAGAAGAAGAAGCCUUUUGAACUAGUUUGAGAGCACCUCCAUAUCCAUACAGCAAAGAUGCUACCAGCAGUUGAGAAACCGCGCGAUCAAGUGGCGAUUCUAAUCGAGGGUAAAGUGCAAGAAAUGCCCUCAUUUUGGCCAAAUUGUUGUAUUUACAAAGUCCCUCAGAGAUUUCGCAGGGGAAAUGAAGAGUUCUAUGAACCCCUGGUGGUCUCAAUCGGACCUUAUCACUUUCACCAAGGCAGUUUCCCACAAAUGCAAAUCUUUAAACUCAAAUACUUAGAGGCCUUCUUGGGCCGAAACCAUCUCAGCUUAGACCAAUGCCUUGGCCUUGUGAGAACGUGGGAAGAAAUAGCCAGGCGUUAUUACGCCGACCCCAUUGACCUAAGCAGUGAUGAGUUUGCCGAGAUGAUGCUGGUGGAUGCAAUUUUUGUCUUGGAGCUUUUGCUCAGGGCACGGUUUUCCGAAUAUGUAGACGAUUGCGAUCGAAUAUAUGGAAAGCUGCGUAUGAUUCAAGAUGUUUUCCAUGAUGUCAUGUUGACUGAGAACCAAAUUCCCUUCUUUGUUCUUCAGGGUUUGUAUGACCUAGUUGAUGCCAGCUCCAAAGGAAAUCUCAAGUUGGUUGAGCUUACGCAUGUGUUUUUCAAUUAUUAUGCAACGUUUGGUGCUGAUCAUCUACAUGUGCCUGGAGUUGACCAUGGAGUACAGCAUUUUGUUGAUUUUAUACGAUACUACUACUUGCCCCCACCGCCUAGGGAGGAUGUAUAUUACGAAAUUUUUGAAAGCCCUAUCCCACCAAGCGUGACAAUGCUAGACGAUGCUGGAGUUAAGUUUGCGCAUACAAGCAAAACCUUCUUGCUUGACAUACAAUUCAUAAACCGAGAUCUUGUAAUUCCGAAUUUGACAGUAGAUGAUUGGACGGAAACUCUGUUCAGGAACAUGCUCGUCUUUGAACAGUGCCACGAUCACCACACGAGGUACAUUUCACAAUUUAUAUACUUCAUGGGGUGCAUGCUCAGGACUUCAAAGGAUGUGGACUUGCUCACUGAACGUGAAAUUAUAUCUAGCGGGUUGGGGAGUAACGAUAAGUUGUGCGCUCUAAUUGACCGAAUUGGCCAAGGGGUUGGCUUCGAUGCGGGAACUUUUUAUUACCGAAGCCUUUGUACAAAACUCAAUGCCUACUGCAAGGUCCCUUGGCACAAAUGGAAAGCAAAUUUGAAGCGCGACUAUUUCAACACUCCAUGGAAACUUGCUUCCACCAUUGCAGCAAUUAUACUCCUUGUGCUCACACUCAUACAAACCAUAUGCUCCAUCUUAUCCGUAUAGCUUAAUUAGGUCCACGGUCAGAACUAAAGAUUAAGGCCUUGUGUAUGCCCGUAUGUUCUUUCCAAGUGUUAAAACUGAAGUAAUUUUGUUAUGCCAUAAGCUUAUGUUGUUCUAGGUUGUCAACGGGUAGUGGAAAAGAACCUUAGCUUGCAGAUUAGUAGUCUCAAGUUCGAACCCCCAUGGCACCUUAGCAGUGCGUGUGUGAAAAAAAAAACCCCUCCCCUUCCCUAAUUUCGAUUAUUUGUUCUAAGUUUGUAACAUUCGAAGUAAAAUAGUAAGGUUAUUGUGAUUGUCUUUAUUUUUCGAUUAUGUUCUAUAGUUUGGCUACUCUACUCGAGAUUUCAAAUCUCCCCAAUAUAAAGUCAAUUAUUAAAUGAAAUUAGUUGUUGAUUCGUUGAGUAAAGAGGUUUUCACCACCAAGCAUAUUUGAUUAUAUUUGAUUGCUAGGCUUUUGGGGUGAUCAUUCUCAGGCUUUGAACUAAUUUGUGGAACGAACACACAACCAUGGAAGUGAUUGCUUCAGAAUUAGUUCCAUGAAAGUGAUGCCGAAAAUAGAUAGAUAAAUGGUGGGCAAAUGAGCCGUAGAAAUUGAUGGCACAAUGAUGAAAAAUGAAAUCGUGUGACAUGCUUUUCAAUGUAUUAAGUAGUAUUAUCUCUUAUUCCUCAAAAUAAAAAGUUAAAUCCACCCACAUGAAAAUGAAACUUGUCUCACCAACACCAGCCACGGUAAAAGAAAAGAAAUUAGUGUUGAUGCGAAAAAGUGGUUCGGCACGUAUUUCGUCAAUUUAGUUAUAUUAUGCUUUUGGCAGGUGACUAUCCUCGGAAGAUGUUCUACUUCUGAAGGGUAAGUACCUGCAAAAGGACGCGUUCGGUAAGUCCUUGGGGUACCAGUGUGGUACCUGCCGAAGGCUCUCCGAUGCUUUAGUAAGUACGGUUUUAAUAAUAUUAACUGACAGAUCAAUCGGUAGCGUACCGUUCGGUCUGAUCUCCUUCCUUUUGGGGAUAGGGGUCUCCUUAUAUAGGUCUUGGGAGGUGUGCACUAUGCUCAUAUUUCCGAUGUGGGACUGUGGACAUGGAUUGUGAGCUUGACACGUGUCCGACGGUAAAAAAGGACAAGAUAGGGCUUCGGUAGAAAGCAUACCGAAGGCGUCUCUGCAGCCAGAAUCGAUCUUGUCCACAUGUUCGGUUGUCAUAGGCCGUUUAUCUCUGGUAUAAAUAAUUAGUAUUAUUAUUUUUAAUAUCACAAGAUUGCAUUUUAUUUUAUUUUUGUCAUUCGUGGUCCUUAAAGUUAGUAUAUGUGCUCACAAAUGGUCCAUGCUGUUAGGUUCUGUCAAAAACUUUGUCAGUUUGCUGACGUGGCAUAUAUAUAUAUAUAUAUAUAUAGGGGGCGGAUCCAUGGCACCAUAUUUUUUACACAAGUUUUGACACAAUUUUUGGACCAUUAGAUUACUUCACUUUUAAUGGUUGAGAUUAAACAUGACAUGACAAAACAAUUUUUUUUUCUUUAAUUAAUAUUUAUACAUUGGGAUUAAAAUUCAGAUACCAUAUUAAUUAAGAAUUCAUUCUCUCUCAUCUCAUUAAUUAUCAUUAAUUAAUUCAUUCUCUCUUUUUCUUCUACAAAGAAUUGAUGACAAAACAAUUUUUUUUUCUUUAAUUAAUAUUUAUACAUUGGGAUUAAAAUUCUGAUACCAUAUUAAUUAAGAAUUCAUUCUCUCUCAUCUCAUUAAUUAUCAUUAAUUAAUUCAUUCUCUCUUUUUCUUCUACAAAGAAUUGACGCCUCCUCCUUUUCUCCUCUCUCUCUCUCUCUCUCUCUCUCUCUCUCUCUCUCUUUUCCCCAAAUCAGCUUCUUAAUUAAUAUUUGCAUUGUGGUUUCAUUUCAUAUUCAUUUUCCUCCUAAAUUUCUUCCUUUCACUUUUUUUUUUAAUGUCUAAAAGGUGGAAGACCUGAUUGCCAUCAGAGAAUUUAUUCAGUGAAAUACUUCAUUGAUCAAAGCUAUAGGCGGACCUGACUGGUUUCAUAUCAUUUUCAUUUGCCGAUUCAAUUAAGGAACCGAGGCAGAUAGAACCAGAUCAAUACAAGAGAGAGAGAGAGAGAGAGAGAGAGAGAGAGAGAGAGAGAGAGAGAGAGUAUAUUACCAAGAAAAAAUGGAUAUUAUCAAUAAGAGAGAUUACGUUUUCAAGAAAAAAGGGAGAGAGAAAAUUAUUUUAUUUUAUUUUUAUGAGAGAGAAAAUAAAAUUAAUGAUUGUUUAUUUAAAACAUUAAAACUAUUUGUCAUGUUAGAUUUAUUCUCAACCAUUAAAAGUAGAGUAAUCUAAUGGCCCAAAAAUUGUGUCAAAACUUUUGUCAAAAAUAUGGUGCCACGGAUCCACUAUAUAUAUAUAUAUAUAUCACAAAACAUCCUGAGGUUCACACACCUAUUACAAAUUAGGGCUAGACAAUUAAACCAUCAACUCAAAAAAUCGGCCGAACCAAACCGAUCAGAUUAGUUUGGUCUGAUUAUUUAUUUGUUAAUUAUUUAAUAUCGGGUUUUGGUUUACAAUUUGAGAUUUUAAAUGAACCGGACCUUCACUAUUGGCAAGCCAAAUAUUACAAAAAUAUAUAUAUAUAUUUUGCAACAAUGGGGUUCAAAAACCCCACACCUCCAGGUAAGAAUUAUUCUUGCUUUCCACUGGAGCAAUCAAGCUUCUUGUGUAAUCUUUCCAUAAAUAUGAUAUAUAAUUAGUUACUCCCAAUAAUAAAUAUUUUUAAAAAAAAAAAAGUGAGAGCAUGCAAGUAAACAUUAUGCAUGCACAUCUGCACUGAAACCAACGUUCUAAUUCUUUUUCUUCUCCUCAUAUCUCACCUCUCUCUACGCCCUCAUUUUUUAUUUUUUUUCCCCAUCUUCUUCUUCAUUCAGUCACUUUCCAUCUCUCCCUCUCUUUUUAUUUAUUUUUCCUUCUUCUCUUUCUCUCUCUUUCUUUUCUUCCUCCUCCUUCCCUCUUUUGCGUUGUCUCCCAUGUCUCUCUCGUUUUUCUAUUUUUUCCAUGCUCUCUCUUCUUUCUAGGGGUGGGCACUCAAACCGGCGAACCGGAAAUCCGAGCCGAACCGCACCGAACCAAACCGGAAAAAAACCGAGUUGACCAAAAAGUCAAAAACCGGUCAAAAACCGAACCGGACCGGUUUGGACCGGUUCCGGAUCCGGUUCCAUGUCUUCAAAAACCGAACCGGGCCGAACCGAACCGGUGAAACUAAAAAAAUAUAUAAUUUCAAUAUAUAUUUAUAUUUAAUGCUAUAUUUUUAAUUUCACUAAAAAAAACAUAAUAUUUAUCCAAGUUCAAUGUCAAAAUCUCUCUCUUUUCUCACUUUAAUAUUUAUUUUUUAUAUGAAAUUGAAUAAUUUGUUAAUUUUCAAGUAAAAAAAUAAUAUUUCAGUUGAGAAUUGUAUUAAAAAAUAAUUUAAAAAAAUAAUUUUUAUAAUCCGGUUCAAAACCGAACCGGAACCGAAACCGGACCGGAACCGGUUCAAACCGAACCGGACGGUUUUUGAAAUUUUUUUUAUUAAAACCGAACCGAACCAAACAGAAUGAAUAGUAUCGGAUCGGUUCUAAUUUGAGGCAAAAACCGGUCCAAACCGAACCGUGCCCACCCCUACUUCUUUCUAUUGUUUUCCAUCGCUCUCUCUUCUCUUCCUUCUUCUCCGUCUUCUUCCUGCGGUCUCUGUCUUCUUCUUUUUCUAUUUUUUCCCUUCUUCUUCUUCCUCUCUUCCCUAUCUCAAUCUCUCCUUAUGUCUAUUUUUUCCCAGCCUACUUUUUCUCUCUUCGGCCUAAACCCGAAACCGAACCAAACCAAAUCACAAACUUCGGUUAACUAGAAUGGUCGGUUUCACAAGUUAUGGUUCGGUGCACGAUUUUCAAAAUAGCUAACCCGAAGCCUUCUGUUCGGUGUUCAGGUUGAGCCUAAAACCGAACCAAUCCAGACCGAGCCCACACCUAGCACAAAUGGUCCUUGCGAACUUUUUUUAUUUUUUCAUUUAAAAUUCAUAAAAUUUUGGUUUUCUUUUUAAAAUUAUUUUAAAACAUAUAUUGUAUUUUAAAUACACAUGACACUAUAUUAUCAUAGAUGUAGGCUCCAUAUAUAUGCCACAUCAACAAACUAAUGAAAUUUUUAAAUGAUCCUCAAGGUUAAAAUCCUUCUAUAAAUAAGUUUUUUUAUAUUCCAUCUCCAUUGUAAAACUCUGUUAUCUAUCUCUCAUUUCAGGAUUUGAAAUAAGAAUCUCCAUAAUAUUAGUUCCAUUAAAAUCUCGGUAAAAUGAAAUUGCCAAGCCAAGAUGAGCCCAUUAGAUGAUUCUGACCCAUACAGAACAUCUGAACUAAAAAGAUUGGAUAAAAUACAGCCACAUUUCAUAUGCAUGCCACCUCUGGUAUUUGGAAAAGUUUGUCUCCCUGAUUUGUGGUCUUGGUGAAGCUCUCACAUUUAUCUAAAAUGCCGGGAGUGUAAAUUCUCUCUCCUCCAAAAAAAAAAACAUAAGAUUUUGCUGUGGCCACUAAAUAAUAUGAAAACUUCUUUACAUUUGAUUAUAGUUGAAUAUGAUGAAUAGGGUAUACUUAUUAAAAUAUAUUUAUUUUACAAUUCAAUAUAUCUUAUUUGUUCAUUUUAUAUUAGGAUAAAUUAGUAAUUCAAUAAAUACUUUAGUAGUAGGGUGUACUCAAUUAAUUUUAGGGUUUGUUCAGUAGCACUCUUCAGUUAAUCAUAUUCUAUCUGCUAUCAAACCACUGUUGUUGAGAACUUCUAGUAGUUGUAUUUUCUGGUUAUCAAAUUCUAGUAGUUAUUCAUUACUCCCAUUUAGCAAAUGUUAGUUGCAAUCAAUUUCAAGUUGCAACGACCUCUACUCUCUAGUAGUUAUUUAGUUUUACCCCUCUCGUUUAUAUUAAUUAUCUUUCAUCCAUUCUUCAUUCCCAUCUCUCUCUCUCUCUCUCUCUCUCUCUCUCUCUCUCACAUAAUCACCCUGGCAACUUUCUAUACCACAUUACAAGCUUUGAUUAAUUCCUCUUAAUUAACCAUGGAAAUUAAUGCAAAAGCUCAACACCGCUCAACCACAGAGCCAUUGCUCCCAAUUUCACGCAACCCUUCAAACCCAUCGUGUCCAGUCAAUCGCAUCCCAAUCCAUUGCAAGAUUAGUACACGUCCACCGCAUUCUAUUACUUGCAUUAGGGACAUUCACAUUGUUAUGCGUCUUCAUGCUCCCGCCCACACAGACCCCAAAAAUCCAACUCGACUCACUCUUCAUGUCCAAGCUUAACGUUUCAAACACGUCACUAGAGGCCAAUUGGGACAUGGCCUUCACCGUAGAAAACCCCAAUAUGGUCUCUUGGGUUUAAUUCAACCGCAUAGAGGGUUCAAUUCUGUACAAGGGCAACCCUCUCGCGACAUACUCUGUUGAGCCAUUUGACUUGGGAUUGAAGGAACAAAGAUUGAUGCGUGUGAAGAUAUCAAGGACCGGAUUACAGGAUGAGCCGGAGAUGAAGGUGUCGGAUUUGGAAGAAAUGAAUAAGCAACGUGAAGAUGGUGCUGUGAGUUUGAAGAUGGAAAUGUUUGCAUGGGCUACGUAUAAGAAGGGUUGGUGGGGAACAGAAGAUGUCAUGAUGGAGGCUCACUGUUUGGAUUUGAGGGUUGGUUUCUUGCCUAAAUUUGGGUUCGGUUGCUGUAUCAGCCUAAGGCCGAUGACUUGCUCUACUGGUUCGUAUGCUAGUUGGUUAAAUCGGAAAGUUGUUGAUUUUUUCUUUAGGCAGGACUAGGGUUUUUAGUCUGAGAUUGUAAUUUGAUGGAUGUAGAUGAAGCCUGUAAAUUAUGAACAAGGAAGAACUUGUCUUUUCUUCUCAAGGGAAUGCAUGCAUCAAAAUUGGAGACAAUGUCAACAUUCUUUUUUAUCUUUAUCCAUGUGUAAAUUGAAAAAGGAUAUCACAAUUACAAAACCUUCCACUAAACGUUUGUGGCUAUAUUUUUAAUCAAAUCAUAAGAAAAAAAAAAUUCACCACACACAAAGAAAUUGAACAUAUAUAAGAUCUCUAGAAUGGUGUAUACUUCCGUGUGUUUCGAGAAUAUAUUAUAUAUGAAACUCUUUUUCAUUAUAAAAUUUAACAAAAAGACGUAAAUUAUAAAAAAUUAAAAAUGCACGAACCAAAAAACUUAAGUGGUACCUAGUCAAACCUCGUCCAAUCAAACUCACCAUCAACUAUUAUAAACUUAGGUUGGGUAAUUUUUCAAUGUGAGACAAACUCUCAACAAACCCAGCCAAUCAAUCUGAGUGAGAUCGACUAACCGAGAGAGAGAGAUGUUGAGAAAUGUUUUGGCGGAACAGAUUCUCCAAUUUUGGAAACACAAUUUCAUUCUUUUGUUUUCACUUUCGAAAAUAAUUUGUGAAAACAUUUCCAAAAAAUGGUGCCGAACUUUUCUACAUUGAUAGGGAAAACAACCUUAAUGAUAGUGUUUGGUCUACUUUUUACUCAGAUUAUAGGUAAAGACUCUCGCUCCUAAUUAUAUGUGUUUGACUUGGUUUAGAUCUUCCAUGCACUGUUUUGUCUAAUAAAUUGAAGUGCUAAAAAGAGCAUUUUAAUUUUUUAAUUUUUUAAUUUUUAUUUUUUUUUGAGGCGGCUUAUAAAUGUCAGAGAUGGCCCCCUUGAUACUUCAACAAACCUUGCAACUCAGGUAAAUCAUGUACGAAUAUAUUCGUUAAUUUUUUUCUCUCACGUAUGAUUAAGUAUGUAGGUUGACACUUGAACAACCUUCUAUUUCUAGAGUUUUCGCUCAGCUAACCAUUUUAUUUGUUAUCAAAUGACUGACAUUUAGAAAAUCCAGUAGUUAUUCGUUAGUCCCUUUUAGCAAAUGUUAGUUGGACUCAGUUUCUGUUUAUAACCUUCUAUUCUCUAGUAGUUAAUUAGCUUUACCCUUCUCCUUUAUAUCAACUUUCCUUCCCCCAUUUCUUCAUACCCAUCUCUCUUUCUCCCCGAAACCCUAGUAAGCUGGAUUAUUGCAUCACAAGCAUAAGUUUCUAUUAACCAUGGAUUCUAAUAGAACAGCACAGCGCUCAGCCACAAUGCCACUACUCCCAGUUUCAUACAACCCUUCAAUUUCAAACCCCAACAUAUCUCUGUCUAUCACAUCUCGAUUCACUGCGAAACUAGUACUUCUCCACCGGAUUUUGUUGUUCGUGUUAGGGAUCGUCACGUUGCUAUGCGUAGCCAUGGCCACAUCCUUAGUUCCACAGCCCCCGAAAAUCAAACUCAACUCUCUCUUGGUGUCGAAAAUUAACGUCUCAAACACAAAGCUAGGGGCCAACUUUGACGUGGCCUUCACAAUAGAGAACCCUAAUCUAGUCUCGUGGAUUUACUUUGACCACAUCGAUGGUUCGAUUUCUUACAAAGAUAACGCUCUCAUAACAUACUCGUUGGACCCUUUUGUACUGGGAUUGAAGGAACAUAGAAUGAUGCGUGUGAAGAUAUCCGUGAAUGGAUUACAGGAAGAUCAGCCGGUUGUGAAGGAGAGGGUUUUGGAAGAAAUCCAUAGGCAACGUGAAGAUGGUGCUGUGAAUUUCAGCCUGGAAAUGUUUGCACGGGCUACGUAUAGGACCGGUUGGUGGGGGACAAAGUCUGUUUUAAUGAACCCUCAAUGUUUGGAUUUGAGGGUUGGCUUCUUGCCUAAAGUUGGUUUCGGAAGCUGGAUUAGUGGAGGGCCUAUGACUUGCGCAGUUCCAAUGCUAAUUGAUGACUAAAUUUGAAUUUCUUUUCCCUUUUUCAAGUUACCUAGCUAGGCUUUUUGGUUUUAGUUACAAGGGAGCCUAAAUUAAGCCUUUUAAUUGGAGGUUGUAAUGUAAUGUUACUAUCUAGUAGGAUCUUGCAAAUUAAAAGUAGAGUUGAGCUUUGUUUCCAACGGGCACUAAAAAAAAAUCAGCAAUAGUCACCUUUUUUUUCCGUGACUUUUGAAAGCAUUGGUCACCUUUAUUGGUAACUAAAAGCUUUAGUAACGAUGCAGCUACAAAUUUUGAGUUGGUGAGAUUUGUGACCAUUACUAUUGGCCUUUAUCACCAUUAAUAAAGAAAGUGACAAACAAAAUGUUGACUUUUCAGUUACCUUUACACUUAUAUUUUUUUAUUUUUUUUAUCUUUAAUUAGUUUAAUAAUUUUCUGAAUUAUAUAUGUUUUAAAUAAUUACAAUUUCCUUUUGAUAUACUUUAAUGGCAUAAUAACAAUAAUUCCUUUUUUUUCUUUUUUUUCUGAUAAGAUAAUAAUAAUAAUUCCUUGAUAAUGCACUUCAUGUGUAAAAGAGGCCUCUAAUAUUAUUAUUUAAUUAAAUAUAAAUACUCAAUUGAUACAUAAUGGUAAUUAAGUAGUACAAUAUUUUCCUAAUGAAUACAAAAUUUGUACAAUCCUAUGCAAACAAUAAUACAUACACGCCUAAGAAGACCUGUAGCUAGUACUUUCUAAUCCAAGCACUCCUCCGAUCCUACCAUACAAACGAAUGAAGCAACUGAAGUGUCCUCCAUUCCUGCAAUUGAAGUGUCCACCAUUCCUGUAAGUAAAUCCAAAUGACAAAGAAUGAAAUUAAAGAGUCCCAAGUACUAGAAGUUAGUAGAUAUUCAAGCUUAAGGAAUUACAACCUCACCCUCUUCUUUUGUAGUUGGUAGCAUUAAACGUUCAUUUGUCUAUGGUGAAGGGAUCUGAUCAUUGUUUGUAGUGAACUAAUAGUAGUUCACAUAUCAUAGUUCAAGAAGAAGUUAGAGGUAGAGCAAGGGCAUAGUUCAAAUAGGGAAAGAAAGAGAAAAGGGAAGAUCAAAAUAAAAUAAAAUCUAAGAAAAUAAAAAUCUUGUAGUAAUCUAAAUGAAUAACCCCAACCCACCAAUGUUCAAGGGAAGAGAAACUCAGAUAAAAUAACAUCUUUACAACUCAGAAAUAGAAAAGGUGAAUUACAAAGAGUAUAUUAAUAAAAUAGAAUAAAUUUAAACGGACCUGGGAAUAGAGGUGCCUCUAGCAAUUCCACUGCCCCUGCAGAACUUGAUCUUCCUACAUCAUAGAAUAUCAAAGAAUAUAUUAAUAUAUAAAAAAGUAGAAAGAAAAAAACUUAUACAUAAAACAAAAUACAAGGAAAGUCAUGACUGAAGCAAGCCCUACUCUAGCUCUCAGAUCUGAGAUAUAACAUCUCAUAUUUGAGAUUUAAUCUAAAAGGACCUCCCAGAGCCAAAGAAACUCGCUAGAAAAACUAGGGAGAAAUAACAAACUCUGUCAAAAGCAAGGAGAUAACCAAAAAAAAUGGAGGGAUCGGGGUGAAAACCACCGGAUCUAAAAAGAAAAAAGGGGUUGCUGGGUUGUUUUGAGAGAGAAGAGCUUAUAAAAGAAAAGGGGUUGCUGGGUUGUUUUGGGUUGUCAAAAGCAAGCCCUUUAGAAAUUCAACUAGAUCAAGUAAUCUCACACUUUAAAGAAAAUGGGUUACUUUAAUGGUUAACCAAUGUAAUAUUUAAUUCUUUUUUUAUACGUAUUUCCAUUUUUAAUGUGUUCUAUACAUAUUUAAUUGGAUUACUAUUCUCAAGGAAGAUUAUCCUCAAAUAUUAUAUUUAACAAAUUACUGCUAUGUGUCAGUUGGUUUACAUUUAUUAUAUUUAAAUCAAUAGUCACCAAUUCUUUAAAGUGUGAGAUAAUUAGUCACAAAUAAUGGUGACUAGUAACCAAAGUCAUUAAUCACCCAUUCAAAUGUCACCAAAACUAUUUUGUUGCUAUAAAAAUGUGACUAAUGCUUUCUUUUUUUGUAGUGGGGAAUCUAUCAAAAUAGAAGUAAAGUUAUAUACGUACAAAUAUUUUGGUGAUAUUGUCUCAUGGAAGACGCAUAAAACCAUGUCUCUGUGAAAUUUUUAGAUGCUUGUAAAAAGCCUCUUCUACGUGGAUGUAUUACCUAAACUUGAUCGAGGACACUUUUUAUUCACAUACUAAGAAAUAUUUUAACUAGAUGCCUUCAAAAUAUAGUUAACUAAAUAGAGGCCUUCACUACACAUGCCAAAAUUUAAAAAGGAACAGAUGGAUUUGUGGAAUUUGGACAUCUAAUUCUAUUAUAUUUGUUUCUGUAUAAGCACUACAAGUUUGAAAUUGGCACAAUAAACUUUAGAUGAACUCUCAAAAUGAAACCGUUUUUGGGGUGUUUUGUUGUGCACUCUAGCGAUGUGGAAAUACUCGCUUGACCUAGUUUGAUGUCGAAUUACUUGGAAGUAAAUAGCUUUGAAGAAAGUUGAGGUUGAAACUUAAGUUUGGAUACUUCAUAAAGAAAUUUGGCUUUAAAAUGACUAUGGGUGCUUAAAAUCCAAUCAAAAUGGCCUAAACUGACUAAUCCAGUCCAAUCAAAUGCACUUUUGAUCAUUUUGAAGGCCUUAGGCAGGUUGAAUAUAGAUAGUUGUGUUCAUACUUUUUUGCUCUCAUACACGUGCGAUUGAAUAAAUUUUGAUUAAUUUUAAGUCAAUCAAAGUUAUGUUUAGUCCAUUUGAGAUCCUGUAGGGGCUUUUUCUUUUCGGCAGCUACUGUGGGCCUAGGCUGCUGUAAAGAGCUAAAUGUGUAAAAAUUGUCUCUGGGUCUGAGUUCAAGAAUUAGGCCCCGAGAAUGCUUCGAAAGGGUAGCUAAGCCUUAGGAAGCACCUUGGUUACCUUCACUAACAAAACUAACAGUUACUUACAGAUAAAUUCUUAGCUUUGACAUGAUAGACUUGUGGUAUGGAAGCAAAGCAAUCAUGAGUUUAGCAUUGAAGAGAGAGAGAGUUGUGAGUUCAUAUGAGAAACAUGGGUUCUAAGGAGAAGGGGAAGGGAUUCUAAGUGGGUUUUUUGAAGAGAGAGAGGGAUGAGGGUAUAUUAGGUGUGUUGAGUAGUUUCCGGCAGCUCGAUGAAAACUCUGUCAAACUUUGGAACAGUUUACCAAAAGGAAAAAUGGGGAGAGAUGGAAGGAGAUGAGGCUCGAAAUUGCAGAGGUUUCAGAGGUGAGAGAUAAAACUUGCUUUCCAGAUAUGUGUUGUUUGGGAUAAAGAAGAAGGAGAUAGAAGGUGAGGCACUUGGGCUUGAUGUUUCCAGCAGUUGGAGAAUAAGCUUGCUCAACUGCUCUGGUUGAGUUUAAUGAGUAGGAGGUACCUUCUUUUAUAGCCGCUAGAAGCUCCUCCUUCUCAAGAAACCCUAAUGGGUUCUCUCCAAUUUUGCCAAGUCUCCCCUUUCACCCCUUUCAUUUCUCUUCUCUCCCUUCGAUCCAUCCCAUUUUGUGAAAUUCUCUUCUGCCCAAUACUUUAUCAGAUUUUUGGGAAUUCAGAAGUUUUCCCGCAGCCAUUCCAGUGGUGAUUUCUUAUUUUUGGCUAUCAUCUCUCAUCCUUUCCUCCCUUAUUUCAUGGCAAGAUCUGGUAAAGGAAGGAGAUAGGUAAAUUUGGCUAGUCUGAAGGCUGCCUUUUCUCUUGCGCGCACCAAUAUCCUCUGGUUUUUUGAGCGAUCUGCCUUAAGGUUUGUUUUGCCCACUUGCUAGAGCCUCCCAGCAGUUCACAUACAUGGGCAACUUUGGCUUUUGUCUUGGCUUUUGUCUCCAGCUAAGUGAUGGAGAUUGCAGAUAUUUUGCUUGGUUGCUUGGGCCUUCCUAAGGUGAUGGGUUAACCCAUUAAGGGAAUGGGCUAAUUUCCUAAAGUGAUAGGCUAUUUUAUUGAGAUGAUGGGCUAAUUUUUCCUAAAAUAUUGGGCUAUUUCUCUCCUUUAUUCUUACCCACAUAUUUGAGCUCAAGAAAUGGGCUUGAGUUUUAGGGCUCUCAAGCAACCCAAAACUUCCAUUUCUCGGCUCAUCAAUAAGCCUCAUGAAAGCUCAUUACCAUCCAUACCACAACCCACUCAGCAAGCCCCGAGCAUUUUUCAUGGCUUGGGCCCACUUAAACUUGUAGCGUGGCUAGGUAAAUAAUAAUGAUUUUUCGCUUGGCAUUGCAUAUCGUUUGGCAUGCUUGAAUUUUGUCGCUUUGAAGAGGGAUAUGAAGCUUGACAGGAUAAUUAGCUUGGGGUCGUAAAGCCAGUGCUUAUUUCAACUCUUAGCAUGACAGAUUACAUAUUUAUUUGGCAUGGCACGUGGAUCAUGACUCGUGCAAGCGUGAAUGACAAACCUUCGCGUGCUCCAAAUCAGGUCUUUUUUUUAAUAAAGCAUUGCUUUGGGUCGGAAAUUUAUUUGGGUCAACCCUGAAUUUUUUGGGCCUCAACAGAUCCAAAACACUCUUACUUACAAUUUAAUUUUUACUUCACAUUCAUUUAUAUAUAUGUAAUUUGAUUAGAUAAUAUAUUGAAUGCUACGUCACCAAUUAAUUUAUCAAUAUUCACUCGUCACAUCAUAUUUAUUUUUAACAUCCUCAACUUUCUAAUUUAGUAUUUGUGGUAAUUCAAGAGCCACCGCAACAAUUUCGUCCCAGCAUCACGCUGCUGCCACCACCUGCCACUCCCCAACGGUUAACCAAACAAUGUAUAAGUUCAGGUUAUGAACCGUUGCGAAAUCACCGUGAAUUAACUUCAUUUGCUUUAACUAAUGAUGUUUAAUGGAUAUCACUAUUCAAGCAAACUAACAGUUUUAUCGGUUAUCAAAUUAAUGAAGUUUAGAAAUCUUCUUUCGCAUGUUUGUUAGAAUCUAGUUAUUCAGGUUUUUAACCGUUUUUGGUAGUUAUUUAGUUUUUUUUUAACAAUCUCUAGUGGUUUACAGUUUCCAUGGCCUUCUACUUUAUAUCCCAACUCUCUCACACAUUUCCACAAACCCAUCUCUCUUUCUCUCUCAAUUUCCUAUCAUCAGCCGUGGAAAUUAAUGCAAAAGCUGAUCAGCACUCAGCUACCAUGCCCCUACUCCCAGUUUCAUAUAGCCCGUCAAACGACAACGUUUCGCAGUCUGUUAAAUCAAGACGCAUUUCCAAAUUAUCCGUCUUCCAACCCAUUAUUCUAUUAUCACCUACAUUAUUAAUAUUUGGGACCUUGGCAUUGCUGUGCAUUUUCAUGUCCUUAUUGUCCCAAGUUCAUCCACAAGCCCCAAAUGUCCAACUAAACUCGCUCUUCAUGUCCAAAUUUAACAUCUCCAACACAACAUUGGGGGCUAAUUGGGACAUGACCCUUACAAUAGACAACCCCAACCUGCUCACAUGGGUUCGUUUCAACCACAUCAAGGGUUCAAUGUCGUACAAAGAUAACAUCCUCGCGAUAAGCUCCAUCGAGCCAUUCAUGUUGGGAUUGAAGGAACGAAGAACGGUGAGGGUGAAGAUAUCGACGAUGGGGUUGGGGGAAGAGGAUCGUGAUCAUCAGCUGGUGGUGAAGAAGAGGGUUUUGGAUGAGAUGAUGAGCAAGAGACGUGAGGAUGGAGCUGUGCAUUUUAGCAUGCAAAUGUUUGUUUGGGCCACGUAUAGGACUGGUUUGUGGGGGACACAACAAGAUGUUGUGAUGAGCCCUCAGUGUUUGGAUUUGAAGGUUGGGUUCUCGCGUGGAAUUGGGUUCGGGAGUGGGAUUAGUGGAGGGCCUAUGAUGUGUUCUGUUCCUAUAUUAAUUAAUUGACCAAAUUAGACUUUUUCUUUCUUUUUUCAUGUAGAGGUUUUUAGUUUUAGAUUGUUAAUUUGAUCGAUGUAGGAGAAUCAAAAUCGAACCUGUAAAUUAAGAACAAAGAAAUGAAUUGUUUUACGCAUCAAAAUUGAAGGUGAAUAUGAACGUGAUGUUAUGAAAUUCUUUGAUGAUCUUUGUCUGGACUUGGAUAAAUAAAAAAGUGUAUACUAGUGAUUUAUCUUAUGAAUUUGUACUUAACUUUUGAUUUGCCCUAUCUUUUUUUUUAAAGAAAAUUAAGGAUAUAAACUUUUUUUUUCCGUCAAUUUCUCCCUUACCGUCUAAAUCCACAACAUUUCAUCUAAUUUGUCGUUAAAUAUGAGGGCAAAUUGGUCAUGUUGUACUUCUAAAAUAAAAUAAUUUGAACUUUGAAAUAAUAAUAAAUAAUGAUAGGAAAAAAAAAGGUUUUUUUUUUUUUUUUUUUUUUAAGAGUAGAGAAAAUGUCAUCCUCAGACUUCCUAUUAGCCUCUGAAUUUCUGCUUACCAACUCCACUUCCUAUAAGCUUCAUACCAACCCCUUUCUUCCCCAAAAUUGAACACAUCCCAUACAACAACACCAAAACCUCCACCAUAUAUUUGAACAAAAUCCCCCAUAUGUACUUAUUUGAACACACACAAAAAACCCAGAUCCAUUUGAUCAAAAAUCGCACAAGGGGCAGAGGGGUUGUGGUGAGGUGGGUGAUUUUGUGGUGUCAGGGAUGGACCUGGGGUUUGGGGGAAGAGAGAGAGAGUGUGUGAUGGUUGUGGGGUGGUGGCUGUGGGAGGGUGAGUUGUUGAGAGAGAGAUGGAGAUUGCGAUGGAUAAAGGGGUGGUCGUGGGUUUAAGGGUGUGUUGUGAAAAGGAAGGCAGCGACGGUGGGAAGGGGGGAUGGGUUGCGAAUUAGUCUUGGGGUGAGUUGCAGGUGGGAAAUGGGUAGUCAGGUUGGGGAAGAAAAAGAGAGAAGGGAGGGGGGUUCUGUGGGUAGGAUAGGUUUUUGUUUUGUUCCUUUUUUUUAUAAUUUUUUCUAAAAAUAUAAAUUUUAUUUUAAUAAUUUAACUGAAAAUUGGAUGCAAUGUUGAUGAUUUAGACGGUAGGGAGAAAAUUGGAGAAAAAAAAAUUUUAUAUUUUUAAUUUUCUAAAAAAAAAAUGAUAGGGGGUCAAUUGAAACCAAGGUAUAAGUCAAGGGACAAAUCACUAGUAUACCAUAAAUAUUUCACUACAUAAAUGAAAUAAACAGAAGAUUUCUAGAAUUUACACGUGCUCUUACAGAAAUUUCAUUAAGUAUUUGGUGUGCAAAUGAAUUUUUAUUAAUUUACUAGAGUCACCCUGAAAAUAAAAUAAUUAUCAGAAUAUAACUCAAAUUUAAAUCUCCUUUUUUUCUAUUAAAAACAACUAAUCCUCCUCGUAAAAAUAUUUACUCUCCUCAUUGUUUUUCGGUUGGAUCCUCCACUUACAUUAUAAUUGUAAUUUAUGCUAAUAGGGUCUAGUUCAGUUAAAAAAUACUUUGAUUUGCAAACUAUUGGUCUCAAGUUUGAAUCAUAUAGCACCGUGAUAGGUCUAUAUGAGAAACCCCACUCUCUAUAGUUUGGACAAAAAUUAUUGAUAUUUGAUCUAUCCUUUCAGAUGUACUUGACUCUUUCCAAACUAUUUGCACUUGUGAAAGGACACGAACUGCAAACAUCACUUCGUUUUACCAAAGCCAAAAAACGUCUUCAACCACCACGCGUAUAUAUCCUUCAAAACAAAUAAAAUAAUUGCCCUGCAAACGCAACUUGAUUUUAACCGCUGCCAUCUUCCCUCAUUUGUUCCUCUCUUCUCCCUCAUCAUCUCCACCUUUCUCCCAUCCAUUAUAAAUCCUUAAAUUCAGUAACUUAUAAUUAGUACUGGGAAUUUUGCUUCACAUAUUGGAUUGAUUCAAGACCAAGGAAACUUAGCAUCACAAGGUACGGCUUUCUUUCUCUAUCUUUAAAUUGUUAUAAACUUCGUCUGGGUAAAAUUAAGUUGUCAAAAUCAGUAAUUUGGUGAACGGUUAUAAAAUCCAAGUCUUGCAAAUUGUCUCUUUGAUUUGUCCUCUUGAAGCUUCUUAUUUGAUUAAUUAUACCAAGUGAGUAAUCUAUUUGGAGAGUGUCUUACAAGUAUGUUUGUAGCAACAAAUACCCUGCAAUACUGCAUUUAAGAACAAACUACCUACUGCCAACGGGGUCUAGCCUAGUGGUAAAGGGCCUUGACUUGCAGAUCAGAGGUUUCAGGUUCAAAUCUCACGGCAUCAUAGUAGUGUGUGUGUGAGAAAUCCCCCACCCCUGUAGUUUAGACCAUCACUUGUACUAAAAAAAAAAAAAAACUAUUGAACAAACUACCUACUACAUUUUAUUUCUAAUUUCUUGUUAGACUUUUUAUAGCUUUGGCCGAUCACUCUUUUUUUUUUCUUUUUUUUUUGGUUGUGAAAUUAGUAAAAUAGUAUUUUUAAAUUGAGGAAUUAACAAUUUUAAUUCGGUCUAUAGAUUAUAUUAAAAAAAAUGAUGUUCUAACAUGUUAUAUAUUGCUAGACUACGAACCACGAGUAUUCUCUUUCACUGAAUAAUCGGUGAAAAUUUCCCUAACAUAUCCAUCUUGAACUUUGUAUUCUCUCUUUCAGGAAGAGUUAUGCAUGGCUUCUUUGUGGUGCAAAAAGUCUCCAGAUUGCAGUAAAAUUCGUGGAUACAUCCUGCUUUUUGUUAUAGUGGUGAGUCUAGCAACAGUCAUCGGAUUUUCUCUCUGGUUCUUAGGCAACUAUGUGGAUUCAAAGUCCGGCCCAGGAACAGACCCCCUUGUGCUUCGUUUGGAUGCAUUUUCUCUAUCGAAUUUCGAGGUUUCGAAUUCAUCAUUCUCAGCUGAAUGGGAGGCCAAGUUGACAUUUGGGAACCAAAACGGUGGCCUAACUGUUACCCUCAACCCCUUUGAGAGUUAUGUGUUCUAUAAAGAACGUGAGGCUCUAUCAUGUGCUUCUGUGGAUGCAAUGUUGCAUGUUCCUCCAAGGAAACAGAAAACUCUGCAGAUCAAAUUUGAUCCGACAAGUUGCGGAGGAGAACAGCCGUAUGUGGAGGAUCGAGUGAUGAAGGAGUUGAGUGAAGAUCGAAAGAGUGGUCACCUUAGCUUUAGUUUGAAAAUGCGCAUAGAUGCUUCUUAUAGUAUGAGGGAGCUUUUGGGAAUGGGAACCCAAGUGACUUUAAAUCCUAACUGUUCAGGGUUGAAGGUUCAGUUUGAGGGUGCAAAAGGGGAGGGAAAGAUAAAUGGGGGCCGCAAGUGCACCAUUCCAUUACCUAAAUGAUCAUGCAAUUCUUACCGUAGGUAAGGGCCGGCUCUGAAAUUUUAAGGGAUUAUAGCAGGCGAAGAUAAGCUCAUGAAAUAGGAUUAAUGUAAAUUUCGUAUAGAUAAGUUGUUUAUUUCAAAAAAAUUGAGUCCUUUUUACUUGGGCCAGAGCACUUGAAAAAAGUAGGCAAAGCCCAACUUGUGAGAAAUUCUUGUGAUUUAAAAGUAGCAGGUUUUGCUAUAUAAGGAAUUAUUAACUCAACAAGUAACGGAUGUCACGUAAAAGGAAAUCAAAUCAAUGUGAUUUAAUUUUCUGGUUUUCUUCUCAUUUUAAAUUUUAAGCACCCUUGCAUUAAAUCAUUGAGUUUAUGCCAAAGGAUGCCAAUUAGCAUUAACACUGAGCUUAUCCAUUUUUGACCUCCAUGAAUUAAUGACAUAAAUUUUUUGAACCAAAAUGUGCACUGAUUCUCUGAAUUUGACUGCCAUUUCAAUAUUAGUUUUUCCCAAUACUCUCCCAUUCACACCUUAACUCAUUGCAGAAAAACAAAAAUGGGCCCUUUGUGGUCUCGUCGCCACAAGGCACUGGCGGAAGAAAUGUCCUUGAAAUUGGCUGCUGCUACAAUCCUCAUCACAUUACUUGCAUUUGUCACCACCGUAUGCUUGUCGUUGAACGGCGGCGUUCGAACAUAUCCCAUUGCCAUUGCUCAGCACUCUUUCUCUGUCUCAAACACAACGAAACUCGUCUCUGAACUGCAGAGCGCUGUUUGGGAUGCAGAGUUGAAGUUCAGCCAGAACAGUGAUCUGCAAGUUCACAUCAAACACUUUCAGGGCUUCGUGUACUACCCGAAAUUCGAACCGCUGUGGUGUGCCUCACUGAAGCCAGUGGACGUUGAGUUCAGGAGCCCAAAUGGGCUGCACAUAAGAUUUGAUAUGAGAGAGUGUGGGGAGGAAGGGCUCGGGGUUUCGACAGAGGAAGCUCUGAAGGAGGUUCGUUUGGAAAUGAAAAUGGACCUGGUUGUGCCUUACCAGUUUGGAAAGACCAGAAUUUGGGCCUGGCUUUGGGGAUUGAGUGUUGAAGAAUCUUGUUCUGAGUUGAGAGUUGAAUUUGUGUCUUCGGUUGGAGAGGGGAAACUGAUUGGUGAGGGAGGAUGGUGCUUUGUUCCAUUGCCUGAGUAAUUUUGAGUUAUGAUCAACUCAUGCCAAUCUAAAUAAUCUUUGUUUUUGCUUCCCCUUUUAUUUAAUUUUGUUUUGUUUCUCCUCUAAAUUAUUACCUCACAGAAUUAGGCAUCAAGCAGACAGACACAAAGAAGAGAGUUUGAGUCUCCACUCUCCUCUCUUUUUUUUUUAAUACGCAGAAAAGAAAAAUAUGAAACUGACAGGAUCACCCUCCAUUCAUACUGAAGGAGACGAGGUUACGUGACUUUGCAGUUUUCAUAGUGAAGUUUGAAAAGGGUCAAAUAAUGCCAAGAUUUUGUCACUUUCUUCGUUUCAAUGUUAAAUGUCCUCGAUUAUCACAAUCAUGAUUCAUCACGCCUCGUUUACUUCUUUAGCUUUUAUUUCCAUGUUCGAUUAAUUUCUUAAUCCCUUCAUUUUCUCCCUUGAUUGUUUCCUUUAAAUAUUCUAGUUUACCAUUUUUAGUAUAAUUCUCUUGUAUUUUUAGUUUUCCGUGUUGGAUUAAUUUCUUGUAUAAAUACUGAAUUCUGCUCCCAGUAGCGCUAUGGGCACCAACUUUUUUUAUCAAUUUUUUGAUACCAACUUAUGUAGCAACUGACAUGGCAAUUCAAGUCAUUUGCCACCUCAUCUAUUUUAUUUGAAUAAUUUAAAUUAAUGCACAUAAUCUAUUUUAAAUUAAUUUAUUUAACUUUUAUAUAUUUAUCUCUUCUCAAGUCAUCUCCAUCAUCCAUUCCCAGCCAACAGCUCCUCCAUCGUAGCACCGCCACGAUCAUGAUGAUAGCAAAUUGAUGGUUACGUUUAUAGAUGAUAAGAUGAUGCUCAUCUCUGAUUUUGGGUUUUGGACAUUUAUGGUUCCUGGAUUUGGUUGAGAGUAUGGCGAGGAAGAAGAAUCAAAGGAGAGUAAAGGCAUGAGCAUAUAUAUAUAUAUAUAUAUAUAUAUAUAUAUAUAUAGUUCUGAUCUUUUGGACCACAGGAGUCCAAGAAAUUUGUGGUCACUCACCGUUGGAUGUAAAUUCAACGGUUCACUCACUCUUGCACUCAUUUUAAAAAACUUUUUUCAACCAUUGGAUUAAUAUCCAACGGUAGAUAACCACAAUCUCUUAGACUCCUGUGGUCCAAGAAAUCAUCGGGACUAUAUAUAUAUAUAUAUAUAUAUAUAUGAAUAGAGUUGGUGAAUCAUAGGAUCUUAUAUGCAGUCUCACACCGAUCACAUCCCAUAUAUUUGGUUUUUCUUUGGAUGAUAAUCACUGGUUUUCUUUGAACUUGGCUGGAAAACUAUUAUUGCUUUGUUGAUUAUUAAUAUUAUUGUAAAUUCUACAAAACAACUAAUUACGUUGAUACUAUGAUUGGUAUGAAAACAUUGAGGAUUUAACAAAUCAGUUAAGAGAGGUGUGAUGAGAGCUCUUCAAUGGAAGGAAUGAUUAUUGAGUUUCUAGGGCUUUUUUGGGGUUGGGGAAGGGUUCACCGUUGAACCAAAACUUAUGGGUAUUUUUCUUUCUUUUUAUUUUGUUGGACAAUUUCUCUUUCUUUUCUUUUUUUUCUUUUUUCUUUGUUCAGGAACAAAAUGUGUAAUUAAAAAAAAUGACAUGGCAAAUGACAAGGAUUGCAAUCUCAUGUACUACAUCUAUUGGAGAAAUUAUAGAAUGCUAUUGUAUUACCAUGUCAGCUAAUUAUACUUCCAUUCAAAAUAUGUCAUACGUCAUUUUAAAAAAAGUAUAAUUUUUUGUUUUACAGCUGGACUUUUGCCCUCUAGAAUAAUAUUUGAAAAAACAAAAAAACCAAAGACGCCGGAAACCAACUCCCACGACAACUCAAAUCUUCCUACCUUGCACUACCAACCACCCAACCCAAUCGCCCAAGGGUUUUGAUUGGCCACCUGGUUAAUCUAAAACAAGAACCACAUAAAGAAAUAACUGGAAAUAACAAUAACUGAUUAUUCCCUUUGUGGUUUCUGUACAAAUGAUUAUCAACAAACCAAAAAAAUAAAAUAACCAGCACACUAUAGAAACCUGUCGAGUCCCUAAACGAGCUUCAUAAUCCAUGGACUAUUGGGUUGGUGGAAGAAGUGCGAGGAUGGGGAUUGGGUUGUGGUGGGAGGUGGUUUCGAGUGGCUUCUUUGGGUUUUUCCUUUUCUAAAUUUUUUUAAUAAAAAAGUCUUAUUCUACAGUUAAAAGAAAGUAUUAAAUUCAGCUGUAAAAAAAAUUAUAAUUUUUUAAAAAAACAUGAUAUAUAGCAUAUUUUGAAUGAAAGUACCGCUAGCUGACGUGAUAGUACAGUAUCAUUCUAUAAUUCUCCAUGUGUUGGUAUCAAUUAAUUGGUAAACAAGUUAGUGCCCGUAGCAUUAUUGUUUUGCUCCUUUCAAUUAGGGAUGAGCAUUGGUGGAUCGAACAGGUUUGGACGUUACACAUCAUGUGAAUCGGAUUUAUAACCACCGAUACAUCGACAAGUCCAACUCAGUUGAUUUGCGGGUUGGGUCAGGCAGGCACCGCAAGUUGGAGGAAGGUGAAACUUGCACAGAGCCAAAUAGAUGAAGCCUUGAAGAUGGAACUUUGAACUUGGUUGGUAGGUGGCUAUGGCGGGGCGACAACUAUAUCAAGAGACAAUUUCAUAUUUGGGAGUGAGGGAAUGAGGGCCACGUCAUGUUCAUGUAUGUAACUUGCAAAAAAAUUGUACAAUUUUCCAUGGGAAAAUUAUGCUCUCCCCACGUAGCUUCUCCUCUAAUAGUUGAGGAUGAAGGAGAUAAGCAAUCAGACAAUGGGAAAAUUUUCAAGUAUGGUGUUUCGGGCAGAGGCACUCAGAAAACACACCUAAGUAUUCCCCUAAAUAAACUCAUGCUUGCAACACAUGAUCUUUAAUGUGUGCCAUUGUUCGUGGCCAUGAAGAUUGACAUGGGGGUGCUAAUAUGCCAAUUUUGCUAGCUAUAAUCCUUUUGUCUUCAUCACUUAUUUCCUUAACAUAGAUUACAACUCCUAAUUAAUUACCUUGUCCUACGCUCUUUCCGCGGCUUUUCACAGCACACCCACCUAUUUUUACACUCUCAUUUCCUUCAAUAAUUAAUCUCCCUCCAAUACACAUUUUAAUCCCCUACCCCAAAAACUCCCUCCUUCUCUCUCUCUCUCUCUCUCUCUCUCUCUCUCUCUCUCUCUCUCUCUCUCUCUCUCCCGGAAGAUUCCUGAGAGAGAGAACGAACAUCCCGUAUAUAUAAUUAAUAGCAGCACAUAUGGCUUCCACAACCGAAACUAAUCAACCCCGCUCCUCCGACCAACCCGCAACACAAUCAUCAGAAGCCCACCAACCUCGAGCCCCCAUUGACCCCUACCCCCCGCCCGCCGGGGGCACCUAUCCGCCAUCCAACAUGAGCUACGCGCACCCACAAGGAUACCCCACCGUAGCGCCCCCCUACCACGGGUACCACCCGAGCGCCUACAACCCUUAUUACGGGGACCCCUACUACACCACCACCUCCUACAACCAAGCUGACGAGGCCGCCAGCAGCUGCUUCCGGUGCUUCUGCAUCAUCAUGUUCCUCCUCGUCAUCUUCACCCUCCUUGCCAGCAUCGUCAUGUUUGUCGUGGUCCGCCCGGAAACCCCGGCCUUCAAGGUCGAGUCCUUUAGCGUCUCCAACUUCAACCUCGUCCCAGGGAGCAAAGUGCUCUCCGGGAAAUGGGAGGCCUCCAUCUACGUGGACAACCCCAGCUACAGGAUGAAGUUGGAGAUAGACAGGUGGGAGACCUCCCUGUACCACAAGGACAACUAUCUCGCGAUGGGCUCCGUCAUGCACUCCAUGAAUCUCGAAUCUCGGUCAAAAGGCACGAUGCACAUGAAGAUGGAGACGUACAAUACAACGGCGAGCAGCGCGGUAGAGGACAUGGAGAAGGAGCAGAAGGAGGGCGGGAACGUGAGCUUCAAUUUGAGGUUGACGCUUUCGUACGACAUGAAAGCCAGUGGUUUUUUGUAUAAUCACUAUAGUAACUACAGAAGUGGGACCCUCCGGGUGAAAUGCUCGGAUUUGAAGGUGCCGCUGCCGGCGGGGUCAAAUACUGGCAGCAUGCCCAGUGGGAGCUCGAAGGCAUGCGAUAUCUCCGAUGGUUUCUGAUUAUUUAGUCAUAGACGAGAAAUGGGUCGGAUAUUUUUUGUAUGGUCUCUCGGUCUCAUUUACUUUCUUCCCAUGUCUCCUCCAUAUGUGGGAAUUGUGUAUUUGGCUAACUUAUAUUAGACGAAGUCAUAUGUUCAUAAUUUUAGAAACCCUUAAAUCUGUUAAUUUUAUUGUAGAAAAUUCUUUAGACUAUUGUUUCUAGGAUUUCUUGUGCUUUGUUUAAUUUUAAUUUUGUUAUAACUAUAUAGUGACACAUAAUGACUAACUCGGGAUCUGACCGUAUUUCUCUUUUCAGUAUUAAAAGGCAUUAGUCAUAUUAUUUCAUGUUUGUAUCGAAUUACACAAUACUAACCGAAGUUAUAGAAGAUUCUUAAUCCAUUCAUUAAUCAUGUAUGGUUAACUAAAUGCAAAAUUUCUCAACUUUAACAUAAGUUACUCAUUCUUUGAUAAAAACAUAUAUAUAGUUUAUAUUCAAUUGAAUAUGUUUGGAUAAAUUUUAGCUUUCGUUAUUGACCAAUGAUAUGGAGAACACUGCACAAUGUGAUCCGCGAUCGUCCCUUCAUGUCUAUUGUUUUUGAGGCACUUUGCAAAUAAGUCUCUCCAAAUUCUAUUUCAUAAUCAAAUUUGAACUAAAAAAAUAAACCUUUAGACCCGACUUUUAUUGAAUCUAAUAAUACCAAUUGAUAGGUCAACAGCGUUUAGCUCACUGAAAAAGUGAUAUUGACAGGAGAAUAAUUAUGUAGUUUAGACUAUUCAGUCCUGAUCUCUCAGACCACAAGAGUCCAAGAAAUUGUGGUCACCCACCGUUGAAUAUUAAUCCAAUGGUUCAAAAAAGUUUCUUAAAAUGAGUACAAGAGUGAGUGAACCGUUAAAUUUACAUCCAACGAUGAAUGACCAUAAAUCUCUUGGACCCCUGUAGUCCAAGAGAUCAGAACUGCUAGACUAUUAUCACCAACAUUAGGAUGUGUAUUGCACUAAUUGUGUUUUUUCUUCGUGAAAAAGCUCCAUUAAACGAGUUGACAAAACAUCUAUAAAAAGUGUUAGGCUCAACAUUAUGCUUAAAGCAAAGGCCACCAAAAAAAAAAUAACGAAGUAGGAGUCCAACAAACACGCAUAUGUCCAUUUGGGCUUUAUCGAUUCAAAUACGCGGAGCGGGUAACCGCGAACCCGAACCCGCUUCGCAUAAGAAACAGAUAGGGACAAUGACGAGCCGACAAGUGUCACCACCGUAGAAGGCGGGGAGAGAUUCCUCAGUGCGGCGCUUCAACUUAAGUCUACGCCCUCUGCCAAACAAAAAAGAAUACAAAAAGAAAAAACAUAGAAUUACGCGUUAUUUGCCAAGCAAUUCUAUCAACAAUCAAACUGUAGCCCUCAAGCAACUUUGUGCUCUCAGAAAUUUUUUUUUUUUUUUUGUGGUAAUUUUUUUUCGCAUAGUAUAUCUAUCGUAUCGACCGACCAAACACCUCCUCCUCUACCUCUACGCCUACCUUUUAUUUUUUCCUUACCUCUCUGUCUCUUGGAAACCAAAAACUCAAUUAGCUCUCUCCGCUCUCAAAUGGCUACCUCAGCUGCCGGCGCCGAUGAUGGUCGUAACAAGACGGUGACCGGCUACCCAGUUGAGCAGGGUCAAUUCGCAGCCGGCUACCCAGCCGCCGGAGCCUACCCCUACGUGGCCCCACCGCCGCCUCCUCACGCCAACACUUACCGGCCCAUGGGCCCACCUCCUUACUACGCCCCUCGGCCCACUGGGCCCAUCACGCCCAAUAGGCCCACCCUCCUCUGCCGCCUCCUCAUUGCCGCCAUCGCCGUCUUCGCCAUCAUGUCCCUCGUCUUCUUCAUCGCCUGGCUUGCACUCCGCCCCCGCCUCCCCGAGUUCCGGGUCGAAUCGGCCUCCGUCUUCCCGCUCAACGCCACUGGCUCCGAGCUCACCGCCACCUGGGACCUCACCCUCCUUGCCAACAACCCCAACCACAAGCUCAGAAUUUACUACGACAGCAUCCAGGCCUCACUAUUCUACGGCGACGAUUACCGGCUCGCCACGACGUCGUUGCCUCCCUUUGUUUUGACCAAGAGGAACCAGACGCGUGUCGGGUUCAAGCUGGCGACGGUGGGGGAGUACGUCGGCAAUUACGUGGCCAAGGGGAUCUCCGACGAGAGGGAUCGUGGGUCGGUGAGGUUCGGGCUAGGAGUUUUUGCUUCGGUUCGGUUUAGGUCUGGAGUGUUCCAGUCGAGGCCUCGCGUGUUGCGGGUCUUCUGCGAAAGGGUCGAUUUCGGGUUUGCCCAGAAGAAUGGGACGGGGACUUUGACGGGUCAGUCAAGUCCGUGUGUGGUUGACGUGUGACUGUGAGUAUAAUUAGUCCAUUGGAUUAACACAAAUUGGUAAAUGCUAUAUUUAGUCGUUGUUCAUGAUUUUGGGUUAUGGAAUAUAAUUCGUGAUCUUCUGAAUCCAAUUUCUCUCUGUUCUUUUAUGCUAGCUAAUGAUAGUAUAUUUUUUUUCAAUUAUUUUAUUAUGAUUUCUACUAGUUUUCUUUGUUUUGGAGGUAAAUACCAUUUUCCCCGUUUUGCAUAUGCUAAUUGGCAUUUGAAGUGUUGAGAUGGGUUAGAUGAUAAUAUGGGACAUUGCCACAUUAGGUUUUGUAUUUGUGUUAGAAUAAAGAGCAAUGUGAUUGUUUUUAGUGUUCUGGGGCUUUGUCAUUGUGAUUCAAACUCCAGAGCCAGAGACUGUAGGGUAUUGAGUGUUGCUUGGUGAAGCUUUAAUCGAGUGUUGACUCAUUUGGUAGAGAUGCAUAAAUGCAUUCUGAAUGGAUUAUAGGGUUUUCCCUCCACCCUUGAAUGCCACUUACCACACAGUCACAAGGAAAAAAGUAAGUGCGCACCAACCGUAGUUGUCUCCAAGCAUAACAUUUGAAGAAACUCAUCCCUAUUGUUUGUUAAUGAUAUCAAACCAUUGUUCGUGCCUUCAAAGAUUAUGCGCUUGAGAAGAAUGGUAAAGACUUUAUUUAAGCAUUGGAUUUGUGGUAGUGGCUACUAAGCCUCUCUGUUAGGAUGUCUGUUUUAUUGUGCUUAAUGCUGGUUGUAAGUCUAGGGUUGUGAUUCAAGCUGUUGUCUUGUGAUUCAAGUCAAUAGUAUUGGAACAGUACAAGAUUUUCCUGGGGAAGGGGAGCUUGGUCUACUAGGAACUAGCAAGUAGUGUGAUUUUACCUAUGUAUUGAGAAAUUGUUUAUUGUUUUGCUCUCGAAGAAUUAAAACGAAUCUCUCUACUUACUUCAUCAUCGUAGAGAUCAAUUCUUUUUAUAGGAGUUUGGUGUUAUUUGUUCUCUCUCUCUCUCUCCGCCCAUAGGAUAACAUCAUAAUGUUUAUCUUUUCAGACUCUGAAUUUGUGCUCAUGUAAAUGUGGUGUUGAAUGUUUGCUUGUAAUGGUCGAAUUGUGCUUUAGGCACUACUGUACGAGUAACGAUUAAGAGGAGUGGCUAGGUAAAGACUGUAGUUGCAGUUAAUUUGACUUCCAAACCAUUUCUACUACAAUGUUAAGUUUCAUAGUAGGUUAUGAUUUGGGUUCAGUUGAUAUAUGAUAAUAAUAGAACUGUUGUCAAAUGUAAAGUCAUUCUCUUUCUGAUUUUGUAGCUGUUGUCAAAUGUAAAGUCAUUCUCUUUCUGAUUUUGUAUUUACUCCUUUCCUGGCUGCUUUCCAUUUAGGUUUUUUCCUUUGAAACUCAGCUGCAUGUCUUCUUGUAGGAGAAAAAACACCAAACUUUUGUUCUGGCAACAUUUUAAUUACGUCAUACUGUAUUGCAUGUUUUCUGCUCCAUUUUAACUGUGUCAAUAUGCUGUUAAGUUGGCCAAACAGGGAACUUUUUAUGUUUGCUCUGUACUACUACGUCAAAGCUUGCCUGUAUUAGCUUUCACACUUUCAGUAUAGUUCUGAGCUGAUGUAGUUGCAUUGUUAUUGUUGAAGUUUUGAUUUUGAAAAAUUCAGAAUUUUGGGCUCAGAAGCCAUGCGAGGUUGGAGAUUAGAAAAGGGGCAUUGCUCGUCUUGCCCAAUGCGUUGAUGUUACUUGUUUUUAAUACUUAAGAGAAGCAAUUAUGUGCUUCUGAAGUCUCUUAUCAUACUUGAAUUUUAGUACUGGUUUUAAACUAUUAAUCUAGUGAUGCCAAACACUGUCCUUUUGUCCUUGAUGCUGAAGUGGUUUUAGUUUUACUUUGAUUUUGAUGAUUUCAUUUCUGAUGUUUAUAGGUGUUAGAGGUUAAUGUGUGUUGAGAUUGUUUUUCUGCUCUUUUAUUUUCUGUUUGUGGUUGAAACUUGAAACAUAGAAUCAGUUUCCAAAAAAUUGAAUUCAGUAUUUCAGGUUGGUACUGUAGUUCCUAUGAUUGGUGACAUAGUUGUAGCUCAACAGGUAGUUCAUAUUUUCCUAAUUUUAAAAGAACUUUUUAUUUUAAAGGUCCUUUUAGUGACAUUUUUGUUUUUUACUUUUAAGCUUUUCUUUAACGAGGUAGAGGGGGAGAGGUGGACGGUUCUUAGGAGAAAGGUGAGGGAAAAAGGAGAGAAAAAAUACUUCAAAAGUUCUAAAAAGUAAAAAAGCAAUUUAAAUGGCUUUUAGCCUGUUACUUUUAAUUCUCUCUACUUCUCCUGUCUUGUUCAUCUCUUUCAUCUCCUCCAUCACUUUAAUUUUCUAUAAAAGCUGUUAUCAGGGAUGCCUUCACUCCGCGUUUUUCUUUUGCUGGCAUUUAUGUAGUAGGCUUCAUCUAUUAAAGAGUUAUGAUUAAUCAAGGCAUGAGGCAUCAGUUUCAGUUAGGCGAAAUUAGGUUUUCAACGAAGAAAUAAAGCCUUACAAGUUCCUCGUCAUUACUUGCAUGUACUUUGCUUUUGAACUAUUCCAUCAUCAGUUCAACAAUUGAUUGAUGUGUAGAAUUUGGUCUUGGGUGUAUUGACUUGAGAUAGGUUGAAGAUGUAUUUAGUUGGUCCAUGCUUAGAGCUCUGAUUUGCUGGCUGAAAUGGUUUAACUUUUGGAAAUUUUCCUCUCUAUUUCACCGGUUGUACAGAAUCAUGUGUCUAUUAUGACGUGACACCUUAACGACCCUAAACUCGGACUAGAAAGAGUUCAAUCCCUCCCUCCUAUAUAUAAGUAUUAGCAAUUGUAUAGGUAUCUUUGGUUCCACCGCUUGUUUAAGUAAGGAGGCAGUGGGAUGAAGUGGUUGCUUGGCCGACAGAGCUUUCUGGGGUGGCCUAAAUAACUUUAUGAAAGCCUAUAUAUUAUGCAGAUAGCAUUGGCAAUGGAAUUAUUUAUAAACUAAUAACACUUUGAUUAUAUCUUAUAAACAUGAUAAGAUUCUCAGACACGAUAAUAGUGUACAUAUUUGUAUAUCUCCAGUUGGACAUGAUUAGGACGCUAGUGGAUUGAGAGAGAUUGACAUUGAUUUUUAGUGCAUGUAAAAGUAAUUGUGUAAAUAUCUGGGAUGUUUCUUCUUUUUUUUCUUUUUCUUUUUUUCUGUUUUCUUAUGGGCCCGUGAAGAAACAGCAUUGGAAUGAAAAUUCUGUGUCCAAAUUAGGAACGCGUGAGGGAUGAGACAUGGUUGCCCUUUGUCAUUUUCUACUGCUGAUUAGGACAAUCAGAAUGUGGAGGGAGCUAUUUGAUUGAUGAUUGAACAUAAGAAACUAAUCAAAUUAUCUGUUGUGAAGUUUAAUAAAAGAAGAGACACAAAUCUACAAGUCUCACGCAAUGAAAGCUAAAUCCAGAUUUAUUUUUGUAAGAAAACAAAGUCGUCCUACUAGCAAUUGACUGAUUUCACUUGACCAAAAGGUUGGGAUAGCAAUUUUUCCCGUCACACCCAAUCUCCACAUUGAUCUGUCCCGAAUGGGAUGGGGAUUGAGGCUUCUGCCCUUUCUCCAUCCCAUUCCGUUUUACAACUAUCAUGUUAAAGAAUGAUAAUUGUUUUGUUGACUCUUAAAUUUAAGCUUUUAUGAAUGGGAUGUGGAAUUCGAAUCUCAAUGAAGAAGACGAUAUCCAAUAGGGUUUGAGGCGGGAUUGUGGAUAUUUAACUUUUAUGGGGAUGGGGAUGAGUGUGAAAUAAUUGUUUCUUCGAGUAAAUUUUGUUAGGGGUAUAACUUACCACGAAGCUACAAACCCAACAUUAUUGCAUAUGUUUCUUCCUUUGCAGGCGAAAUAGUCCUCUGGGAGGGUGCAAAGGAUAGGAAGCUUCUCACUGGCCAUGUGACGGCAUGUGGAAAAUACGUAACAAAAGGCUUUACUUGGUGGCGUUUACACCUACGCCAUUAUUAUUAUUAGGCACCAUUUUAUAUUUAUAUUCAAAACUCAAAGCAGUGCAUGAACUGAUGCAAAAAAACAAAAACAAAAAAGAUUUAGGGGCUUUUAAGAUAUUUCCAUGUUGAGUCGGUUAGCUUGGCAAGUCAGUUUGAUCUUAAGGCUUUUCAUAAUUCAUUCAUAAUGUAGGAAAACACUUAAAAGGAAAGUGAUUGCUUGCAUAAUUACUUAUGAUAAUUUUGAUCUCCAUUUAAAGGAAAGUGCUUGGAUGAUCCCCUUUUUUUUUUCUUCUCAAAACUUGCUUUCAAAGUUCAUUUUCCAUCAUAUUUCAACUCCUUUUCUUCAAGAUACUUCUACCAUCAUACAUCAUAGAUGCAUCCAAAUGACUAUCUAGGGUUCAUUGGCUCAUCAUCACCCACUAUUAGUUUCACUUUUUUAUUAAUAGGGUGAUCAAUUACCCUUCAAACCAAUUCAAGACAGCUUAAUCAACCCAAUUAGAUAGUCAUCAUUUUGUGUCACCAAGAAUAUUAUCCCUUUCUUUCACCUCCAUGUCUUUUCUUCCCCAUUUUUCUUCUCAUUGUUUUUGGAACUCUCCCCUUCUUAGAAUGACCCACCAAUCAAAGGGUUUCUUUCUUCUCUCUCCCCCAAUGCUUUAUUCCACCAACUUUUUGUUUUUGUCUCUUUCAUUAACCCAUGGUUAACAGAAAGAAGCAUAGCCACAGAUUCUAGUCAGAUUUUAGCAGCAAAGCGCAUGAAGACAACAAACGAAUCCAUUGGGUGCAAGUUGCAUAGAACAAUUUUGGCUUUGGGCAUUCAUAUUAACCACAAAGGUUAGGUUAAAAGUUAAUUGUGAUUUACUUAACAGAGAUUUAAACAGGAAAUUGGGAUUUGGUGGUUUCAAAGAAGAUCUUGUAGGGACAUUUGUAAUUCCCAAAGUAGGGAUAAAGAAUCAGCAUGGAUGUCAGUGCAAGUGCAGAAGAGAAUACCUUUGUGUGUGUAGAAUCUAGUAGGCAUUGGCCACAAACCACCCCACCCUUCUUUAUGGACAUUUGGGGAUAUCCUUGGCUUCUUUUUGCGGCUUCCAUGUUUUGUAAAAGUGCUUUUACCCAAGGCAUUUUCUUCUUGUUUUUAUGAGAAAAUUGAGAGAAUCAGCAGCAAAGAAUUUGGUAAAGGGCCCUCUGCAUUCUCUGGAAACUGCACUAAGUGUACUUGGUUUCUUUGGCCACAGUACAUAAGAGAUGCAACAAGAGGAAAAGAAAACAAUCAAAUAAGUUCUACAGCACCAAGUACCAAAUAAUUGAACUCCAACAUGUCUAUGAGUAAGGCUCCAAUGAUUCAAAUUUUGGGUUUGGUCGUACCCAAAUAGUAAUAUUCUAAAGGAAAAUGCAACUAAGAUCAAAUAUUUCGAGCCGCUUCCGUGAAAAAUUCAAACUUUCUUUUUUAAUACUUCAAUCACAUAAAAAUAUAAACUUUGAGAUUCAAUAGCUAAAUACAUGGCAAUUGAAUCAUGAGCCGAGAUCAUAAAGAGCAUACAAGUAUACAAAGUGGAUGUCAUUGUAGGUGUCAAAUGAGUGAAGAAGAAGAAAAGAGUCAUGUGCUUUUAGGUGUGCCAACUAAUAUUAUCUUUCCAUGGUUUGAUCUCAAGUCUCAUAUCUGGAUGUGGUUUUCUUCUCUUUGGAUUUAUAUAUGACAAUAUAUAUAUAUAUAUAUAUUUAUAUUUAUAUAUAUUUUAAAAAAACAUUUAAAACACCCAAAUUUAUACACCAGUCAUAUUUUAUACUGUAUUUCUUUUUUCUAAUAUUAUAACACUUAAAGAAAACCCAAGUAAAUGACAAAUAGUGUAUCAUAUCCACCCACCAUCUAAUAAUGCUAAAUUAGUAGAAAGUUAAGUCUUUUUUUAGCAGUGUUUCUUUCAUUUGAUCCAAGACUUUUCUACAAGAGGCCUAUGUCAGAAUUAGUUAUUUGAUUUCAUAAGACUCUGCCAGAAUUUGACUCAGCAACAACCAAUUUCUAACCAUGUGUCUUCAAGCCAAGAAAUAAGACAAAGUAGGCCCUUCUGAAGAUUUCAACUUUUGUGAAUUGCUUAACUUUGAGCAAAUUGAUGGUGCAUAGAAGAAAUUUGAUUCCCUAUAUUUUUUUCUUCUCACUUGCUAAUAUCCAGUCAUUCGGUUGCAAACGACAAUGACUUUCAUUAAAUGAAAAUUGUUUCAUAGGAAAACAUCCAAAUGGUUAAGAACUUAAAGAAAGUUGAUGUUUGAAGUAUAUUUUAGAGAGGGGAUAAGGAGAACAACACUUUCAGAAACAAUGAAGGAAGAGAAAAUUUUAUAUAUUGAUUAAGAUUAUCGACCUGAUAACGAGAGAUUCACCUUAAUCAGCGACUCAUUGUCCGUACACAUAUCAAUAAUUUUCAUGUAACGUAAUCUUGUUCGGCAAGCUUCUAUCACCAUUUGAGAGAGAGAGAGAGAAAAAAAAUUGUAUAAAAUUAAGAGGUAGAUAAAAAUUGGUCAUAGGUUUGGUCAUUGGUGGUUGAGGAGACUUUUAGAGCUCGAUGUCGAUACUAAAUGUGUGAAAAAACACAUCAUGGUCUUGUAGUUCAUAUUCACACUUGCCAACCGACAUAAUCAAUUUCUAGUUUCUACCAUCAAUAAUGUAUUGGAGUGUAGUUUGGUUUGGUGCUUUUAACUAAAAUUAGUACAUGUAUUGAAAUUAUUGCUCUCUUUUUUUGUUGCCCACGUACCCUUUUACCAUCUGCUGGGAAAGUGCAGUGCAGCUAACCCUACUUUUCCUUGAUUAAAAAAUUAUUUUUAUAAAAUAAAUAAAUAAAUAAAAAAACCGUUCUCAAUGUUGUUUUCUAAGUAACAUUUUAGGAUUUUUAAAAAGCAAAACAAAAUAAUUAAAGAAACAAAACUGAUGAAAGAAAGGCUAACAAUUUUCUUUCUGGGAAAGCAAUGGGUUCUUUAUGAAAAAGGGUUUAAGCUUUUAAUCCACCCAAACAAAGUCUUUGUUUCUAAUUCAUCAGAGGUUAUGAAAUUUUCAAUACAUCCACAUCCAAAUCAUGUUUUUUUUUUUCCUUUUUUUUUUCUUUUUUUUUUUCCUUCUAUGUUGCAUCAUUGUUAGGCUUUAGGCUUUAGGCUUUAGCUGGUGGGAGAAGUAAUAUUUUGGAACCCAGAGGUUUCCUCUGUCAUGAUAAGUGGGGCCAAGUGGGUGCAAGAGACGUGUCAAUUAGACUUUUCCCAUGUAUCCAUAUUCAAUCGGACGGUGGUGAAGAGUCUUGCUUUUCCAAACACUUUAUUGAAGUCACAAUCGGCCCAUUCACAUUCUAAAUUCUAGUAUAGAAAGAAAUUUUAAAAAAUAUGUUAUUUUCUUUAGGCUUUUUGUCUUUCUGAGUUGAUUAAGAAAAAGCAGUGAGCUUCACUUUUUGACUAAGCGAGCACAACACAACUGAGGGUCAUGGAUUAAUACAAUCGUACUCAUUAAAACUCAUUUAUAUUGUUUUUUUAUAUAAAUGAUAUUCUAUUUUAAUUUAUUUUAAACUACAUAGAGGGGUAUUCAAACUCGGAUGUAAACACUGAAAUUCACUUACAUUAACAAUGAAGAUCGAUGGCAGACAAUAUUAAUGAUAUUUUAUUACAUAUAUAACUAUAUAUCUUGAAGCUAAUGCCAAUAGCGUAUUACUUGGAUCUGGUUUUGAAAAGAAUUAGGGUUUGAGCAACAAGAUCUUUCUUAGUGACUUGAGCCUCUAUAGUUUAUUGAAUGGACUUUAAUUUUGAUUAGUUGUAAAAUAAAGAAGAUUAAUAACUUGUUUUGAAACACUGAAACACAUGAGGUUUUUGAGGAGAAUUAUGAAGAAAAGAUAUGAACCAACCAUUGAGAUAACAUGUGGGUGAGCUCGACAAACAAUUUGAAAUCCUGUUUGUUGAAUAAAGCCAAGCAUAGAAAACGAUUGGUCUUAACCCAUCACACCAUAUGGGCAUCUUAACUAGGACACAUCAUGCAGUGAACAAAAACCCAACAAAUUUCAUCUAAGUUAUUUAGAUCAAAUCAUAUAAAUAAUAAACCCAAUUAGUAGCUAUAAUUGAUGAGCCUUGUCAAGUGACACAUGAUGACAUAAGGUAUUUGUGUAAUUUAAUUGGUUAAUGCCCAUGGUUAUGAUUGAGUAAUAAGAAAAACCAAACAAUGCCUUGGUACUGAAAAUUGAUGGGUCACCAAUUUCCACUACCUUGCUACACUACCACCAAACAACUCAAAAGCAACCAAAAAGUUCUUUAAAAAAUAAAAGUUAUUGGUUAGUGCUGGUUAACGAUUUAUAAUAUUUGGUUCAUUGUCGAUUAUUUGAUUGUUAUUAUAAAUAUUAACUUUAAUAGACAGUUACUCAUAUAAAAAAUAGAAAUUCAGAGUAAUUUUGGAAUGAGACCGUAAUCUAAUAUUAAACAUUUUUUUUACGCGAAUAAAAAACUAAUUUUCCUCAUAAUUAGUGAAAGUACUUUGAAAUGUCCCUAAACACAUUACACCUACUUUAGCAUACUUGCUUUUCCACCAUACAUACAUGAUCACAUAGAUCAUCAUCAUCUUCAUUAAAAACCAUGUAAUAUAUAUACCCCCACACACAUCCCCAACCAAAGCUCAUUUACUAAAGGGUCAACUCUCAAACCCAACUCUAACUCAACUCCAACCGUCCUUCCUCUCUCUCUCUCAGUCUCCCUCUCCACCUCCACCGCAAACUACCGCGGCCGCCGCCAUGUCGUACAAGGACUGCGGCCAACACGGAUACAACAAGCGGCGAAGGAGGUUUAAACGCUGCUGCGCCGGGCUCCUAAUCUUCAACUUCAUCCUGCUCGUCACCAUCCUCAUCGUGUGGGCCAUCCUCCAGCCCUCCAAACCCCGCUUCAUCCUCCAAGACGUCACCGUCUUCAACUUCAACAACUCCGUACCCAACGUCUUCUCCUCCAGCUUCCAGGUCACCGUCUCCUCCCGCAACCCCAACGACAAGAUCGGCAUCUACUACGACAGGCUCAACAUCUACGCGACAUACCGUAAUCAGCAGAUCACCUUCUCCACGCUCAUCCCGCCGGUGUACCAGGGUCACAAGGACGUCAACGU